GGUAAGGUAGGAGCCGUCCUGGCCGGUGAUGCCGGUGAUGAGCGCGACCUUGCGGGGCUCCGGCGGAUCCGGGGCGGAGCCGUUGGGGGUGGAUCCGGAUCUGGUGGUGUCGGUCUCGGACGCCAUUGUCGGGUCGGGUUGGUGAGGAGAAAUGAGAGAGGAGUGAGAGUAGAAGUGAGAUUGUGCAGAGGAGGGUGUAGUGGUUUUGAGAGAUUUUAAGAGGAAGGGAAGGAGGGAGGGAUCCAAGCCUGGUGGCUUGGUUGGACAGGAACGCGCUUCUAGCGGUUUUACUGUUGGGGUGGCUAGUAGAAGGGAGCCAGCUGAGUUGUCGGUGGGGGACCCACAGCACGAUAGUCAGAAGGGUGCCAAAUUUCUAACGUUUUUUAAAAUUUCUAAUCUUUGAUUUGAUUUUUAUACGAAAUAUUUAAUUUUGUUGAGUUAAUCUAGCAAAUCAGCAUAAUCAUAUUCUUAAACCAAAAUGCUACUUGUACCACAUGGUAAGGGUAGCAUUACUCUUUUUUUUAUAUUAAAAAAUAAUAUCAUCGCAUGGUUUUGUUUUUUUUUGUUUUUUUACAAACAGUAUGGUCAAGCAGCUAUACUAAUUUCCAAGUGGGCGCCUAAUCGUUGUGCUUCAGCUAUGUUUUUUUUAAAAAGUAAAUAGUAUCGCCGUGCGGCUAUACUUAAUUUUUGAUUUAUUUUUUAAAAAAUAGUAUAGCCGGGCGGCGUUAUUGGUUUUUUUUUUUAGUCUUUUUUUUUUGGGUCAAGUUUUUAAUUGUCUUUAAUAAAUAGUAUAGACGAGCAGCUAUAGUCUUUUAUAUAUGUAUAUGUACGUACGUAUUUUUCAAUAAUAUAUUGGUGUUCUAUACACGUCUUUUAUUUUUUAAAAAGCAAACGUACAAUAGUCGUAUUGUACAUGUACAUAUAAAUUUCUAAUGUUUUAUACAUGUACUUUUUACAAAAAUUUUAGUAAGACACACAAAAUUCACAUAUUAUACAAAUAAUUCUCACAUAUUAUUGAAUAAGAAUAAUAUAUGUUAUAAAAAUUAUAUAUUGUGGCCGAUUAAUAUUUACUUUGGAUAUAUUGAAACUAUUAAAUUAAUAUCUAUAAAGUACAAACUAAUGCAACUAGGUGGGUCAUUUUUUAUUUAUUUUUAAUUAAAUAGUAGAGCCCUGUGGCUAUACCGUUUAAAUGUAAUGUAUUUAAAUAGUAUAGUCGUUCAGUUAUACUACGAUUUUUGACACGUGACGCCUAAUCAUCAGAGGGUCCCUUAAAAAAAAAAAAUAGUACAGCUGUGCGGCUAGACUUCGUGUUUUUUUUUUUUUUAAAGACUUGUCUUGACACGUGGCGCUUAAUCGUUGGGGGACAUCUUUUUUUUUUAUAUUAAAAAAUAGUAUAGCCAGACGGCUAUAUGCAGUUUUUAAAAAACAAAUUUAAACAGUACAGCCGCACAGCUCUACUUAUGUUUUUUAUUUUUUUAUAAACAGUAUAGCUAAGCGGCUAUACUAUUUUACACGUGGGCCCUUACACUCUGUGUGUCAGCUCUAUUUUUUUAUAUUAGAAUUACUAUAGCCACACGGCUAUAUGCAAUUUUUUUUUCUUAUUUUUUUAAAAAAUAGUUUAGCCGGGCUGCUUUAUUGGUUAUAUAUAUACUAGCCUCUCUGCACGCGCUUCCGCGGAUGCGAGAGGUUUUUUUAAAAAAAAAUUUAAAUUUAUUUUAGAAUUAAAAAAGAUAAUGGAUAUUUGUGUUCCAUAAAAAUAUGAUCCAUUAUCUGAAUUUUCUUUUAAUUUUAAUUUUUUUAAUACGAAAAUUGUGAAUUUACCAUAUUAUCCUCAUUUAAUUAAUAAUUUCAAUUCUUAAUGUUUGCAUUAACCAAUGACAUUUUUUGGUAUUUUGAAUGUUUCACCAUUCUCUGCCUUUUGCUUUAUAUAUAUAGAUAAUUAUCUUUAAUAAAUAGUAUAGACGAGCGGCUAAGUCUUUUAUAUAUAUAUAUAUGUACGUACGUAUUUUUCAUAAUACAUUCGUGUUCUAUACACGUCUCAUGUUUUUUAAAUAGCAAGUGUACAAUAGUCAUAUUGUACAUGUCUGUACUUAUUUCUAAUAUUUUGUACAUGUAUUUUUUAUAAAAUUUUCAGUAAGACACAAAAUUCACAUAUUAUACAAAUAAUUUUCACAUAUUACUAAAUAAGAAUAAUAUACGUCAUAAAAAUUAUAUUAAAAUAUUAUGUAGUGCCCAAUUAAUAUCUACUUUGGAUAUGUUGAAACUAGCAAAUUAAUAUAUAUAAAGUACAAACUAAUGCAACUAGGAAGGUCCUUUUUUUUUUAAAAUUAAAUAAUAUCGUUGUGCGGCCAUUCCUUUUAAAUAUAAUAUAUUUAAGUAGUAUAGCCAGCCGACUAUACUUUUUUUGACACGUGGCGCCUGAUUGCUAGAGGAUCAUCUUUUUAGAAUAUAUAUAUAUAUAUAAUACAAUCGUACGGCCAUACUUCUUGUUUUUUUUUAUUUUAAAAAAAUAGACUUCUCUUGACACGUGGGGCCUAAUUGUUGGGGGGUCCUCAUAAUGUUACUCUUACCACAUUUGUAUAUCACAUUCUCAUACAACCUUAUGUGGCAGAUGAGGUGGACAACCACAUCAAUUAAAAUUAAUUUAGCAUUUUUUUCUUUUAUGAUUUAUUGACACUUUUUAAUUAAUGUGACUAUCCAUUUUAUCUAUCACAUAAAGUGAUAUGAGAAUGUGAUAUACAAAUGCGGUAAGAGUAACAUUACUUAAUUGGUUAGUGCAGCAGUCUCACGAGUUCAAAUAUCAUCAAUCAUGAGUUCAAAUAUCAUUAAUAAUGAGUGUUUAAUUAAAAAAAAAUUGUACUAAACCAUUAUUCUUUUGGUGUCAAAUUAUUACAAAUUCAAAUAUCAAAUAUAAAUGCCAAGAGUGGCUAAGGAUAUUUAUUUCUGCAUUUGAGGUCCUAGAUUUGAUGCCCCCUCUCCCAAUAUCACACUUGUAUAAAAAAUAAAUCAAAUAUAUACAAUUAAAUUUUAUUUGUUGAGUCUUAUUUUACCCUUUUUUACGAGCCUUUCUUAAAUAAAUUUCGAGAUUGUUGGAGUCCCUCGACUACAUGCUCCGUCAACCAAGUAUGGCGGUGUCUUCACCAUCUUCUUCAAAUACUGAUUGAUGAUUAAUUGUGGGUCAACUCAAUAGCCUCCAAUUUGGCUAUAAAAGAUACAAGAAAGGGAGAUGCUAUGGACAAUCGCCUUGGCCCUUGCAGUGGUCCAUCUCACGUGAGCGUAGGGUAAGCAUGCAAUCCAUUGCUCACUUAAAAAUCCAUUGGGGUAAUGGUCUCAGCUUACUUAUAUUGGGCCAGAUGUGGGGGAUGCGGCUCGAUGGGCAAAAUAUUAGCUCCAUAGACUCUCUAUUUUUUCUAAAUUAAGAUAAAAGAGUAUGGUUUUUUUUCACACAUUGUCAGAGUGUCAUAAAUAUUCGAAUAUGAAAUUACUAAUUUAUAAGUUAAAUUUUUUUUAUUAUUGAGAUAUAUCUUGUUGGUCAAUUUUUAUUUUCUUUUGACAACAUAAUAUAACAAACUCGAGUGAAGUGGAACCGAUGAGGUGAUUUUAAGGAAAAUUAAAAAAAAAAAGUUAAUAUAGAGUCUUUUUUUUUGUCAGGAUGGUAAAAUAAUGCUAUUGUAAUUAAUUCCUAUCCGUACAAGUCGGAAAGGCCAGGCCAGGCCAGAAAAGCACAAGCGCAUACCAUACGCCAGGCGUACCAUAGGCGUGCCGCGUGCGCUGUAAAACACCAAAUAAGCCGUCAUAAUUGAAAUCGGAAAAUUAGGAAAAUGGAAAACGAACAAAAAACUGUCUCUCGAACCUCCCAAUAAAUACAAAAACACCACCACACUUCUCAUAUUAAGCAAACGCAUCGGCUUCCUCUUCUCCUCUCGGUAUCAAAAUUAGGGCAUUGCUCUUUGUUUUGCAGCCUAGGGUUUCGAGAAGAUCUGCACAGCCAGAUCGAUUACGAUUUUACAAAUCUUACAUAGCUAUUUUUUAAUCUAGGAUUAGUAGGAAUUUUAUAUCGGUAAAUUGAAGCGGGAAGGGUUUUUGAGAUAUGAGAAUGAAUAUGAAGCGGUCGAGGAUUUCAAACUCAGUUUCUUGGGCUGCCGGAGCCAAUCUUUGUCAGGUAUAAUCGCAAAAUCUUAAAAUAUUGGCUUCUCAGUUCUGAUUCUGAACCACCAAUUUGUUUUAGGUUUUUUUUGUUUCUUCUUCGUAUUGGAUUGGAUUGGAUUGGAGGUGGUUCUGGAUUUGUUUUAACCUUAUAAGAUUUUAUUCGAUUCUUCUGUUUGGCAAGUCAGAAAAUACUCCAUUAGUUUUCCCUGUUAAAUUAAUCACAAAACCAUACCUGUCAACUUGAUUGAUUAAAGUUUGCUUCUGUUUAUUAUUUUUAAUUAUUAUUUAUUUAAUAAAUCAAAUCUGGAUUACAUUCGAUUGGCAAAUUAAAGGAAAGAGUGGAUGCUCAUUUAAAACCAUCAUAAAAAACUCAUUGAAAAUUCAUUCUGUUGUUAAGCUACUUAAUUAAUUGUGAGUCCAGAAAUCUGGGCAACAAAAUUAUACAACAAUGACAUUUAUUACCAAAAAAAAAUAUAGAGAGAAAAAGCCAUUGCAAUAUUGGCAGUGUGACAAGAGCUUGAAUAAACGAAAAGAUCUCGACACCAAAUAAUAAAAAAUUAAACGGAGAGAUUCGAUAUUCAUUCUCCUUCAAAACAGAUUGAUUGACAAGAAGAUGGGGUGGUCUUAAGGCUGGUCCUUGUGACUUAUUUCUUGCAUGCCACCCAGUGGUAAAUCUGUUGAACUUCUUUAAAACCUAUAAUCCAUGAAGUCCUUCAGCCACAUCAAUCGAUUAAUGAUCUUAUUGAAAGUGUAGUGAUCUUGCAGAAAACUCUUUUUUCUAUAUUAAGUGUUAACAGAGUUAUCACAAGAAUCAAAAGAAUUUAAUCUGAUUUGGUUGUUAUAAAAUAUUACUUGAUGAAGUCCUUCAGACCGAUAAAUUGAUUGAUGAUCUUAUCAAAACUGUUCUGCUGGUCUUUAUAAUUAGGAUCAACAGAAUAACUAGGAUCAACAAAGUUAUUACAAGAAUCAGCAGAACUAAAUCUACAAAAUCUGUUUUGUUGCUAUAAUGUCUAUAAUCUGUGAAGUCUUGUGGUGUUAUCUUCCACCCGUAUUACAACAUGUAACACCUGAAAUGUGGUUUGACCAUCUAACCCAUGUUAUAUAACACAUACAAAUUCAUUAAUUACUAUACCUUAAAGUAUAAACUCGUCGGCCACCACGUGCCAUAGUUUGGGUGCGCACUGGUAACAGCAUAUAUACACGUAGUGGCGAUGGGUUUAUACUUUAGGGUAUGAUAAAUACACACAUGUUAUAACUUGGGUAGUUCAGUAAAACCACGUUGAGGUGUUACCCUCACAUACUUAAAUUUAUCCAAAACAUGUAGAAACUGCUCCAUUUUAAGGAUAGGAUCAACAAAAUUUAAGAUCAGCAAGACUUACAUAAAGUAUUAUUGAAAGUUCAAAAUGGCUUAUACUUGGGUGAGGAUAGUUGUCCAAGAAGUGUCAAAGGUUCCUGAUUAAGAAAAUAUUGUCGUAAUUUGGUAUGCUGAAGGUUAUAAUUUAUAAUCAUAUACGUAAAUAGUAGAAAAGAUUCUCUAUCUUACUUAUGCCACUGUUUUUUCCUUAAGAGUAUGUAAUACAUAAUAUCUGAAUAAAGCAAGCACUAACUGAUUGGUCAGUUACCUGAGCUUGUAGAACCCAAAUUUUGAUUACGAUUGAAAAAUCUACUGUGUCUAAUCCCUCGAAGAUAAGAUGGAGUCUUGGAAUUUUCUUCUUAACUCAUAGUUGCAAAUACAUAUUUGCAAUGCACUGCCUAGUGUAGGAUAUAACGCUAAUAGUUGCAGAAAACUAGGGUGAUACCAUCCAGAUACUGGAGUUAGGGUGUGUUCAUGUGUCACAUAGCCUGAAGAUGUUACAUAUGUGGUGAAAUCCAUGCGUUUGAAGUCUUCAUAAAAUGUAAAGCAAAAUUGUUCACUCUAAUCAGAAAUUAAAUGCUAAAACUAGGCUUCUGCCUGAGAUUCAUAUAAUGGUAUAUAGCCUCUAGGGUAUAAAGGAAAAAGGUUUGGCCUUAGAUAUCUAAAUAUCCUUUAUGUGUAGAAUGCCAUGGAAAUCAUUAAUAUAAAUGUCCAUAUGAUAAAAUGCAGAGACAAUUAGUGUGUAGGUUUGAUGAGCCGUACUGCAUAUAAUGUGGUCAGUCUCUAAUGUAGAUGCUGCAUAUAAUCUGGUUUUUAAAAUAUGAUCAUUCUUUCUUCUUGUUAAAAUUAUCUUUCCAAUUUUUAGUGGUAAAUGUUGCUGAUUGUUAUCAUAUUCAUCUGUUCAUUGUGACUUACCAAGUUGUGAUUUUAAAUAGGUGAAGCUGUUCUCUUCUGAGGAUUGUCCUGUUAAAGUUGGCCUGAAAUGUCAAGAUCAUCUUCAAGCAAAGGCAUCAAGUAUGUUGAAUUCAAUUCCUGCGGAAAAUGAUUUCCCCCCUGGAUUUGAAGGCAGUUUUUCUGUGGGCAAGUCAAAAGUGGAACUUCCCCACAUCCCGAGUAUUCAAUGGAAACGCCCUUCCAAGGUGUGUAGAUGUUAGAUCUUUACUAAAUUAUGAUUAAUUAUGCAUGUGAUUAGAAUAUCUGGUCUGUAAUCUGAAUUCAGGUGUUGAUAUGUUUAUUUUACUUGAACAGUUUGUCAUAAGUCCCACCUGGGAAGUAGCAGCUGGCGAGGAAAGUGAGGAUGCCAAGGCUCAAAAAUCGAGAGAGAUGAGAGUGCUUGAAGCAGUUUAUCCUCGUUUUUCUGCAAUUCCCCCUAAGUAAGCUUUCGACCUGUAUCCGGAAUUACAUUUCGUAGUCUUUUUGUUCUUUUACAUGAUUAAGCCUGAUCAUCUUUUUUUUUUUUUUGGCACAGCCCCUCAGUUUCUUUGGAUGUAGAGGGCGAGCAUUAUGAUGAUAGCCUCACUCCUUUUGUUCCUGAUACUCCAAUUGAAGAAGAGUCCCCAGAUUUACUUGAUCUGGAAACUCCAGUGAAUACCAAUGUAGGUUGUCAACCACCAGUCUUGCACCAAGGUCUGUCGGCAUCUGGGAAAUCAAAUGCUUCUAAAUGUAACUCUCCUGGUUUGCAGCAACUCGCCAGUGAUCAACCUGUACUAGGAAACUUAUUUGAUCUUAACGCGGACGUGACUGCUGCUGCUUCAGCUGCAUUGACUGCAAUCAUGAAAAGCACUGAGAAGGGAAGUUUGGUCGAUACUGGUUUGCUCAUUAAAAUUCUUAGUGACCCAAAAAUGAUCCAGAAAUUGAGUAAUGAAUCCGGACCACAGGCCAAUGCAGGACUUGCACCCAGGCCAAAGACAUUAGUUCCAUCAAUUCCCUCAUCUCAUCCAAAAUCUGAUAUGCAAGGGACUGCUGCAGGUGGAAACUACUGCCCUAUGCCAGGUACAUUGGGAAUUGCUUUGAAUACAAUCCCUCUUCAGCCAAAUAAUGUUCAACUAUCCGGGUUGAAUCGACAAACACCACCGUCUCCUUUGCCCAGCUCCAAAUCCAACUUCUUUAUGUUGCCUAGCCUGCCAAAUCAAAACCAAGCACAACCCCCGCAACCCCCUUUAAGAGCAAUGACUCAACCGAACAGACCUCCAUUACCGCCAUUCUCUUCAAGUGCAAUGAAUGAUCCAAAUAGAGCUCCCUUACCACCAUUCCCAGCCAACGAAGCCGGACAUGUGAAGGAUGUGAACUACUUUAAGAACCUCAUUAUGCAACAUGGAGUUGAAAUCCAGGACCCAUUUAUUGCACAAAAUGGUAACAAUCAUAAUCACUUGACAGACUUGAAAAUGGUUCAAAACUUUAAACCAGGAGAAACGAAACCUUGCAAGAAUCGCAAACCUUGCUUGUACUUUAAAAGCUCUAGGGGAUGCCGUAAUGGAGUUAAUUGCACUUUCCAGCAUGAUAUGUCAUGCCAGUGGCCGACUGGCAGCAUCAUGGAGGCCCAUAGUACCAAGAGAAUGAAACUAACUGGGUUUAAUACUGGAAGGAUGUGAAUAAUGGAGCUAAAAUCCUGCAAAUUUGGCCUCUCUUUACUUUUCAUUUUCUACACAAGUUUUGUGCACAGCUUGGGGUAAAUUUGAGACCUCGAGACAGGGUAGGUAGGUAGUUUUUCCAAUGACUCAGGCAAUUUUUUAAGACUAAUGAAAGUUACUUUUAAGAUAAAGUGUUUUUGUUCUGCUUAUGUUUGUUUCUGUGCUCCUAAAUUCUCUUCGCACUUUAUCUGCACAAUUGACGAACCAUUCAUAAAGGAAUGGCCCAUAAAUGGUAGAUCGUGUAAUGAAUUCUUUAACUCUAGGCCCAAAGUAGAACUUUUCAGAUGAUUGGUAAAACAAAGAUCAAAAGAAGAAUUGUAAGUGGUAAUAUGUUGACAAGCUUUAGUGAUCAAUGAAUAAUUAUUCAUGCAUUCUCAUAUUUUAUUUUAUUUUGAAUGUUCAAAUCGUUAUUUUAAAGUAAUGUUACUAUCAUCCCCUUAAUUAUUCAUCCUAUCCACCUUUUGCAAAAGAAAACUUAUUGGAAUGGCACCCAAGAAAGAAAGUGCUUGACACUAAUUAAGUUUUCAUGGAACUUUAAAACACAACAUUAAAGAAAAUGAAAAUUUGUAAGGGACUUGUAGUUCAAGUGGUUAAAAAUAAUUACCUCUGCACCCGAGGUUGUAGGUUUGAUUCUCCCCUCCUCCAAUAUCGCUUUGUAUCAAAUUAAAGAAAAAUGAAAAUGAAAUUUUUAAUAACAAGACUAGCUAGGGUUUGUGUCCCGAAGGAACAUGUGUGGGCUAGGAGACAUUCUUGAUAUUUCCUUCAUCUCAUUUGGCCACUUGUGAAGAUACAAAAUUGGUUUGCGGGAGUUGUGUGGCACUCAAAAUUAAACCCCAAAUUCCAAUAAAUAGAAGAAAAAACAUGUGAACUAAAGAGCAUAUGCAGGUUUAGAUCUCUACUCUUGGUGCUUAUGAACCCAACAUAUCUACCCUACAAGCUAAUCUCAGCCGACCCCCUUCUCAACACAAUCUGUUCUUGCAUCCAAACUAAGCAAAUUUAUGUGGGAGAUCCCCAUGUCAGAUUCAGAGCAUUUUGAUUAUGCACAAGGUCGACGAAAGAGACUUGUACCAGAAAAGCUUCACAAGCUGACUAAUAUCUUCCAUGCAAAUUCAGCUUUCUUCACCCAUGUGUGUUGGGAUUUUAGUUCUUCAUAUUCUUCAAGCCUUAAAUGUUUUGUUGGUAAAGAUCUAAAAUGUUGGCUUCUUUCUUACCAUUUAUCAAUUCUCUUGUGUUGGUGGGGGUGGGGUGGGGGCACAAAAUAAUCCAGUGAUGGGAAGGUUAAAUGCAAGAAUACCUCCUCACCCAAUUAAUCCACUCAUGAUCUGUGCUACAAUUAAAUAUACAAAAAAAUUAUCGCAAACCCCAUUCGGACAAAUGACAAACUCUAUGUGUUAAAUUCAGUACCGUUAAUUUUCCCCUUUUUAUUAUCUUUAUAGGAACCCUAAUUUGGUGUGGAUGAUGCUCUGAUUAAGAUUUUUUUGUGAUUUAUUACGGCAGCGCGGAAACACACCGAAGGCUGUGCUGGGCUGUAGGGAAGUUUUGAAGAAAAAAACAACAAUAAAAUUAUCUACUACAAGAAGUAUGCUGCCCUUUGGUUUCUUCAUCUCAAAAUAUGCAUUAUCUACUGUCUUGUUGUUGUUGAAAUUAUAUGGCAAAAGGUUUUAAUAAGGAAAAAAAAAAAAUGCGCCUGUAUGGCUCACCAUCAACUAUAAAACUAUAUGUUUUCUCUUUUAAGAACGGAAAAAUAUGUUAACCAAAUUCUAUUAUUUUUGUAUUUACAACUAAUAUAUAAAUGAAACUUAAUUAUUUAUAUUUUUGCACUUUGCAUUUAUGAAGCUUAUUUAGUUGAUGCCAAGAAAUUUUUAGGGAUUCACACUACAAAUGUAAGAUUUUUUUUUAAUAAAAAAAUCAUUAGAUUUUAAGUUAAAAAUUCUUGGUUCCGUCCUUAUACGGCAGGGUGCAAAAAAAAUGUUUUUGUGCAUCAAAGUACAUAUGAUUGACAUGGAUGGAAAACUCGAUGCGAUUAGUUAAGGAGUAAAUCUUUUAGGGAUGUUUUAAUUUGAAGAAAAAGAUGAUGUGAAAGAUUAUGGCCUCUUUCGUUGAUCACAACAUUCUCAUGUGAGCUUUGUCCCCUUCGUCACAAGGUUAGGUAUUUCCCAAUCCUUUUCUCCAAAAUAAUGCUUAUACGAAUGGAAAUGCAAUUAGUUGGAAUCUUGGAGAUUAAAGGAAUGAAAAGGAAUUUGUACCCUCCAAAUUGUGCAUGGACUGUGCAUGGCCGUAUUAAUCAAUAAUCCAUCAUCAUCAUCAUUUGAUUAAUUAAAAUCGCAUGAUUUGAUCGUAACCGGGUAAGUGUGAUUAGGGCGGGAUCUAGUGACUAAAGCGUGAUUAAGAGUCUCAUAAUGACCAAGACCAGCCAAAGUGGACAACGAGACCCACUUGCAUGUGCCUCUCAAACGUACAAAAAUGGAGUCCAAUUAAGCAUAUGGCGUCACUAAUAAUAAAGAUCAGAGGCUAAAAGCUGGUGGAAUACAUCUCUAAUAUCGUGGACCCAAAUGCAUGAUGGCAGGAAACCAUUAAAAACAGGUUAGGUAUUUGGUUUGAAUAACUACUUCUUCUUGCAAUCUUUAUGUGGCUUUGGACUCUACGUAUAAUUAAUUGGUUUCUUAAUCAAUAUCUUUUUCCAUGGCUUUUGAAGAAGACUUUGUGGAGCAUGACACUGGUCUGUGGUUGGCACUUGGGGAUUAGGGUCUAUAAUCUAUAAUAAGAAAAGAUAGAGGAGAAUGGAUUUGUUUAAAUAAGUAGAUCACUUCCACAAAUUAUAUGAAAUAGGUACUUGAAGAUUGUACGAUAUUGUCAAGAAAAAACCAAAUAAUAUUAUAUAGAUUAUGUCGUGUGGUGGGUGUCUUCAACUAGGACUAGCACAUAAGUACAAAGCUUUGUUUAAAAACGUUGCCGAGGCAUGCACUACAACAAGGAUUUUUGUUUAGUGCCAACCUUGUGGUUAUUAGUAUAAACUAAUUACAAUUAGUAAAAAAAUGUAAUUAACGAACACAUAUGCAAUACAUUUGGAAAUUAGAUGAAAAUGAAUUACUCGAAAUUAACAUAUAGAAAAUAUAAUUAACCAAAUACUGUGUUAACCAGCCCAACAUUCGUUUGAGAGUGAUUUUGGAUAGGCCAAUAAUCACUUAUCCACAUAAUAACUUUUAAGUGGUUUUAAGUGAUUUUAUGGAGAAGCACAUAGGAGGUGCUUCUACCCAGAAUCAUUUAAAAUUACUUAAAGUGAUUAUAUGAAAAAACACGUGGGAGGUUUUAUAAAUUAAAAACAAAACACAUAAGUAAUUCUGGUCUAUCCAAAAUCACUCCCAAAUAAGCUUCUCAAUAAUGAUAAUUCGAACUACUUAUCAUGUAUGAAAAUGAUACAAAUAGUCCUAGAAAGUAGGAUAACUUGCAAUUAUAUGGCUGUCAUAUGUGACCUCCUACAAUCCAGAGUUACCAUCAUGGAAGAAUUACAUCUCUAGAAAGUUCCAUAGCUGUAUAUAUAAACUUAUUAUUAUAUAUAUGUUCAUAAGCAUAACUUUUACACAGCCUUAAUUAGUAGAAACCCUGACUCCAACUCCAACAAUCUCCAGGACUGUGAAAGAGUUGGGAUUUUGCAUUCCAUUACGAUUAAGUUUUUGCCUUAUUAUGAUAAUUAUAUAUCAGUUUAUUUAUUGAACUAUUUGGGUUGAAAUUUGCUGAGAAAAGUUAUCUUCCCCGUUUACUGGAAAUACAUGUAAAAACAAUAUUAUUUUCCCCCCCUUCUAUUUGCUAACAAAAGAAAAGAGAGAAAAGAGAAAGAAGAACAAUGAUUUUCUCCUCCGGAUUUAAAGUUACGUACCAUAUAGAUAUGUUACAAAACCCUUCUCCUUAUUCAGGUUAUAUUUUAAUUAAACCAAGACAACUAAAACUAUUUCUCAAAUUGGAGUUGAAAGUUUGAAAUGAAUUAAUUAAGAAUAGGGAAUAGAAGAUUGAAUAGUAAUCUUGACCAAUAUAGUCAAUCUUUUCCUUUUAUAUAUAUCAUGCUAACCACUGUAUAAACUGAGCCAUAAAACUGUUAAAGGAAAGAAAUUGGUCAACUAUUGUGAUUACCUCAAUCUUAGUAAUUAGCUAAGUUUACGAUCAUUACAGCUACUGUGAUUUACAUACUUAGAAUAGAUUCCAUGCUUAGAAUAGAACUUCCAUUCUGUAUAAAUCUUGUACAUCAUGAUCUCAAGGAAUCAAUACAAUAUAUACAGCCUUCUACAUUCUUUCAUGGUAUCAGAGCACCAACAUAGGUGACUCUGUCCAGCACGUCUUCCGCUACCAAAACCAAACACACAAACAACCAACCUACACAACCCAUCAACAUGGGUGAUGAAAAAUCAUCCGGAUCUGAAAUCAACAUGUCUGAUCCACUUAUCCUACACCAUUCCGACUCACCCGGUCUGGUUCUAGUUUCGAAACCUCUCGAAGGCCAUGACUAUGGUCAAUGGAGUCGCUCGAUGCGAAUUGCCUUGAGCGCUAAAAACAAACUAGGAUUCAUUGACGGGACUAUCAAAGCCCCAGCAAAAACUGAUGCCAAAUUCUCCAUUUGGCAGAGAUGCAACGAUAUGGUGUUAUCCUGGAUUUUGCACUCACUACAACCCGACAUCGCAAGCAGUGUACUUUACUGCACCAGCGCAUCCAUGGUGUGGAAUGAUCUUAAAGAUCGGUUCUCACAAGGCAACGACUCCCGGAUUUACCAAAUCCGUCAAGAAAUUGCCGAACAUCGACAAGGCCAUCUUUCGAUUUCAGAGUAUUACACCAAACUCAAGGCCUUAUGGGAUGAAUUGGAUUCAUAUCAUGAACCCAUCAUCUGCACUUGCGAAGGUUCCACAACACGUGCUUCCAGAGAAGAGAAGGAGAGAGUCAUGCAAUUUUUAAUGGGUCUGAACGAACCUUAUUCAACUGUGCGUGGGUCAAUUCUGAUGAUGUCACCGAUCCCAGACACACGUCGUGUCCAUGGCCUGAUCCUCCAACACGAAAGGCAGCUGGACGUGGCAAAUCGACAGACCGGAUCCCAUGCCAUGCAAAUCAUACGUUCUGCAAACACCAAGGGCGGCACCAACCCAGGCAACUCGGCAGCAGCGGCGAAACCUUCUGGUGCUGGGGACGGAAAAUACAGCUCCAACUUCAGGAAGUCUCUAAAAUGUUCUUAUUGUGAUGGAGACACCCACACCAUUGACACUUGCUUUUUCCUUAAUGGAUUUCCUGUAGGCCACAAACUCCAUGGGAAGAAUGUCAAGCCCAAAAACAAACGGGCUGCUUACACUACUGAAAAGGAUCCAACCCCAGGGCCCCACGUCAAAUCUAAUGACAGCCCCACUUUCACUACUGAAGAAUACAAUCAACUGAUCGCUCUUUUACACGAUCGACCUGGUAAUUCUCAUCUUGCAAAUGCAACAGGUAUUGUUACAUCAACCUGCAACCUUUCACAGCAUGUCCCACUUUCAAAUUUCUAUUGGAUCAUGGACAGUGGAGCAUCAGAUCAUAUUUCGUGUUUUGCACCUUCACACAACACAGUCAAUACUCAACAUGAUUUUGUUGGUUUACCUAAUGGCGGGAAAGCAGCCAUUAAAAACAUUGGAUCCAUUAAAGUGUCUGACACCUUAACUCUAGAUGGUGUUCUUCAUGUACCACAAUUCAAUGUGAACUUAUUGUCUGUGAGCAAAUUGACACGAGGAUUGCAGUGUAUGGUGACUUUUUUUGAUAAAUUUUGUGUUGUGCAGGACGUGAAUACGGGGAGGACGAUUGGCCUGGGCAAGCAAUUUAAUGGGCUCUACUACCUCAAAGCCACCCAAAACCCACAUCUAGCUCAUCAUGUUCACCACACCUCCCAUCUUUCGUAAGUUUUCCUCUGCUAUACAAAAUAUUGGUUUUUCUCAAUCCAGAGCAGAUUAUUCUAUGUCUACACACAAACAUGGUAAAUCCUUCACUGUUAUAUUGUUGUACGUUGAUGAUAUGAUAAUUACUGGAAAUGAUGAUGAUGCCAUACGAGAUCUUAAACACUUCCUUGGCACUUGUUUCAAAAUCAAAGAUCUUGGACCUUUAAAGUAUUUUCUUGGAGUUGAAAUUGCACGGUCCAAAUCUGGGAUUUCUUUUUGUCAACGGAAGUAUACACUGGAUAUUUUGGAAGAUGCAGGUUUACUUGGUGCAAAGCCUACAAAAAUUCCUAUGGAAGCCAAUGUUGCACUCAUGCCUACAGGGAGUGACCCUCUCAAGGAUCCUACUUGCUAUCGCAGACUUUUUGGCAGGUUAAUCUAUCUCACAAUAACAAGACCCGAAAUCACAUAUGCGGUGAAUACUCUAAGUCAGUUUAUGCAUGAACCCCGAAUGCAUCAUUUUGAGACAGCACGUCGGCUCCUCCACUACCUCAAAGGAGCUCCUGGCCAAGGGUUAUUAUUCCCUUCACACGGGCCCCUCCACUUGACAGCUUACUGUGACGCGGAUUGGGCACGAUGUCCUUUUACACGGCGCUCAGUUACUGGAUACUGUAUAUUCCUUGGCAAGUCACUCAUAUCAUGGAAAAGCAAGAAGUAAGUCACUGUCUCAAGGUCAUCUGCAGAAGCUGAGUACCGCUCUAUGGCAGCCACCACUUGUGAACUCACUUGGUUGCGAUAUCUCUUACGGGACUUACAAGUGGAACACAAUCAGCCAGCCACCUUACUCUGUGACAACAAAGCAGCCCUCUACAUUGCAGCCAACCCAGUGUAUCAUGAACGGACCAAGCACAUUGAAUUGGAUUGCCAUACCGUUCGUGAGAGAAUUCAAAAUGGGGAGAUCAAGACAGUUCAUGUGCAAACCAAACAUCAAGUUGCAGAUAUUUUCACUAAGCCGCUACCUGCCCCCUUGUUCCAAUCCCAUCUUGGCAAGUUGGGUGUAAUUGAUAUUCACACUCCAACUUGAGGGGGAGUGUUAAAGGAAAGAAAUUGGUCAACUAUUGUGAUUACCUCAAUCUUAGUAAUUAGCUAAGUUUACGAUCAUUACAGCUACUGUGAUUUACAUACUUAGAAUAGAUUCCAUGCUUACUUAGAAUAGAACUUCCAUUCUGUAUAAAUCUUGUACAUCAUGAUCUCAAGGAAUCAAUACAAUAUAUACAGCCUUCUACAUUCUUUCAAAAACCAGUCAACUUUCAUCAUGGAUUUGCAUGUCCUCCAUCUUUUCAUCUUCAUCUUAAGGUGUGUAAAUAAAUUAAUAAAUAAAAAUGAGAGAGAGAGAGAGAGAGAGAGAGAAAGAGAUUGGAAAAGGGAGAGCCUGGGAGGAGCUCCCUUGAAUUCUUUGAUUUGAGUGUAACCACCACUGAAGAAAAACUGCUUACAUGAUCAUAUGUAUCAAUAAUAUACAAUUAUCUCGAAAAAAAAGAGUUAAUAAAUCACGGUCAGAGCCGCCAAUUAUAAUACAAAUUAAUCAAGGACGUCUAAGAAUGAAUGAAGCAGGUAGCCAGCCAAGCAAAUUAGCUUCAUCUCUCUUGCAAAUAUUUGUUGCAGACACCAAAAACAACAAGCCCUCCUUUCUUCAUGAUCAAUCAAUGAAAUCAAUAUAUUUGAUGCAUCAGAGAGCGAAAAACGACUUCUUCGCAAGGAAUAGUCAAGCCCAUGUCAUGGUUAAACCCAAACUCCUCCUCUGCCCUUUGGAGCAGAGUUUGAAACUCUGGAUGGCCCAGCCAUGAAAUUGGGAUAAUGUAUCUGCUUCUGUUUUCACCAACAUACACAGCAAAAUGCCCCUUUGGCACAUCUUCAGGAAGACCACCUUCAUUGUUGUAACCAUUUUUCUUCCCAAAACUUGAGCAUCUUUUCAGAAUCUGCUUGAGAGCUGCUGUUUGAGGAAGCUUGUUCGACUUCUUGCUGAUUGCCAUGUUCUCUGUGUUUUGGGUGAAGUGCUUUGUAAACUUGUGUUUGCUUGCUUGCUAGCUUUGAAUAUAGUUUUACUUGGUUGAGAGAGAGAGAGAGAGAGAGAUGAGAGAAGCGUGUGAUGUUCUGGUGUGGAGAUUGGAGGGUUGGAGAGGUAUUUAUAUGGGGAUAGUGGGAACGAGGGAAUUGGUUUGAGAGAAAACAAAGCCAUGUGAGCUGUGGGGGCUAAGAACAACCCACAAGUCAUUUGGGGAAAAUAGUGUUCAAGGGCAUGCAGUUAGCUAGCAAACCCCAUUGGGGCUUGGCCUACCCUUGCUUCCCUCUAAUUGUACACCGUGGGCCCCCGCUCUCUCUCUCUCUCUCUCUUUGUACUACUUUCUAUCUUACUCGUACGUGUAUUUUGUUAUACAUACUGUCUUAUCUAAUCAUCUUGAAUGUCGUAUAUCUCUAAUAAAGACACGACUCACAUUUGUAAAGAAAUUAAAACUUACGUGUAAUAGGGUUUUCACGUAUCAUUAUAAAUGAGGAGAGAGACAGAGAGAAAGAGGAACGUUGCGUAUGUACUCCGUUGCAAGUAUAUGAGGUUCAGAAAAUUCGAGAAUGAAUUAAUUUGUUCCAAUUUUGCUGUCAAGCACAGUGCCCUGGGCGAAGAAAAAUCUAUAAUGUCUUUCUGGACGGAUGGUUCUGUCCCUCUCAAACUGUGUUAUCCCUCUCAACCCGUUAACCGCAAUUAGAAUGUGUCUUCAAAAGUAUUGAUGAAGACAAGAAUGCGUACAUAUAUUAUUGCUGUGUGGCCCAAAUGAGUCCAAAUUAUACUUCUAAUAUUUUAUAAUAUCAUAUUAAUCAGCAAUUUAGGAAAAUACAAACACGAUCAACUUUUAAAAGAUACAGAAAAGUAGUGUUCCAUCCAUUACAAAUUAGUCCUAAACUCAAAGAGAUUAGCAUUAUAAUAACCUGAUUAAAGGUUAAUGAAAGAGCCCUUUCAUAAAUAAAGGUCAAUUUCCUCGACAUAUCCUGUAUUUUUCUAAUGAUUCAAAAAAGGAGGUGAUGUAUAAAAGUAAACUUUACAUUUCAUUGUCACACCAUUGCAUCCCACCAGCUAAAGAAAUUGCCAUCUGUUUUUUGUUUGGUAAACUUUUGGGUACGUACGUACAGUCCAAUUUUUGGUCAAAAAAGAAAGCCACUCUGUAUUUUAUUUAAUAGAUGAAUGGGCAACCGUUCUUUUUUUUUUUUCUGAGAAAUUCUAGGAUUGUAUUCAUAAUUCAGUUAAAAAAAUCAUUAACUACAAAAAGUCAAUGCAAACUAGCCAUAAAAGGCCAUUACAAACAUCAAAAUUUAGAUAAUUUGGUGCACCUCUAUUAAAGAUCACGCAUGAUUGAAUAAACUUUGACAUAGGCAUUCCAUUUAUAAUCACAAAACAAUGAAACCAAUAAAUAAAAAAAUGUUAAAAUUAUGAUCUGUAAAGAUAGAAUUAUAAGCAACUAAAUAUUUAAUUUGAAUAAUAAUAAUAAUAUCUUAUCAGCUCUUAGAUCAAAUGGUAAUUAGAUACACAUCACAUCUCAUGAUUUAACCUAAGUUACUUAUGGAUCACAACUCUUAAGAAUAAAAGGGAAAACAACCCCAGCUACCUAAAACCAACAUAAAAUCUGUCAGGAACGGAACAGAUUUUGGAUGGCAAGUGCAAUAGAAGCCUUUUUGUGAAAGGUGGUCCAAAUAAUGCAGCAUUCACUUUCUAUAUCUUUUCCUGGCUAAAGAAGAAAAUCUCCACAACCCACUUUGAUUUAUCUUGAUAAAGUUUAUAAGCAACUACCCGCUAAGUACAUGUGUCAUGUGGAUAUGUCGUUACAUAAAUAAAUAUUCAAAGUUAAAACGUUUGAUUUUACAAUUCGCCUUAUGCUCACGUCCGAACAACCCUAAUUCAAUAGAAUGAAUAUUUAACUGGUUUAUGGGCAAAAUUGCCCCCACAAAUGGGUGUAAGGGCUACAAGCCAUGGUUAAAAAUCCAGUUCCCUAACUAACUGCGUCUCUCCUUAGGGGACCCAAAUGCUCACAUUUUUUGUCUCACCUUUUUUUUUCUAUGCUGGUUUGUCAUGUACACAAACUCACAUAAAUAGAAACAUACCAAACUUCCAUAUUGCCCAACAGCUAAAGGGCAGCCUUCCCUUAAGACCCUCCCAAUGUCAGCCCAGUUGCCCUAGGCCGCCAAAAUGGGGAGCAAACUGCUCACACCUAUUGGUGUUGCUUGCUGCCUUCUGGCACUGAAACUCAUUCAGAACCAGAAAUUAAAAAUAAAUAAAUUUAAAUUCCUUCAAACAUUAUAAACUUCUGUAGAUAUGAAUUCUUACAUGAAAAUCCAUGACAGAUAAUUGUAGGGUGCACAUGUUCAACUUGAGUUCCUUGUGCUGCAAUUAGUUUCGGAAAUGUCUCACCAUUCAAGACUGCCCAUGUGGGAUUUUGAUAAAAACAAAAACCAGACCAUACAGAUAUAUACAAAGGAAGCUGGUAUGUGGACAUAUAUUCCUCUUCAAACGAGCACCACCAGUUUCAACUUACACGGUAUAUCUCUAACCUGACUCACUUUUUUGGGAGAAUUUAUUGAGCCAUGUUCUAAGGCUCUCAAAAAGCCAUCCUCAGAGCUUCAAGGUCAGCAUGCCCAUCUGUCUGCCUGCAACUUCACUUUUUUGUUUUCUUUCCCAUUCCAAAUGAUUGUCCUGAAUUCCUACAUACAUACGUACAUACAAAGUCACAAAAUUCGUAUCAUGACGUCAUGAACCAAUUUUAAUAUUUAGUUCCUCAAUUACUCAAUUCUCACUUUGGUCUUUGAAUAAAGUUUUAGAAUUCUAUAGUGCUAUCCAACUUUUAAUUUUGUGUCACUUUGGUCCUUCAAUCAAUGUUUGUUCGCUUCUCUCUCAAAAUUUAGGGUAAAAAUGUUCACCCAUGUUGUAUAUACUUCGCCAACCUAUCAACUUCUUUCUUCUCCUAUUUUGUCCCAAAUUGAAGUCGCAAUGCACUUUUGGAUGAAACAAGAGAAGAAAAUUAUAUAUUUUGACAGAACAACUAAAGUGACACAACCUUAAAAGUUUGAGGAUUAUAGAAUUUAAAAACUGAAUUGAGGGGGUAGAGUGAUUUAUUGGUAAUAGUUCUGUCCUUUGGGGAAAACUCAUUGAGAUCCAAAUUCCAAUACCAACGAAACAAGUCACAGUCUCGAUGUGAGAUUGAAUAGAAAGAGUGGUGGUAAUGUCUAUAUAUGCGGCUACCCAUGUUGUGGAUAUGAAUAUAUAUGGAUAGAGCAUAUGAAGGUCAGAAUUGAAUUGGAGUUAGUAGAGGCCAUAUCAUCGUCACUGAGGCAGAAACCAUGAUUGUCAAUCAACACAAGGCUCUUGUGUUGCAGAAGAUGUUUUCAACCUACACAUCAAUUCAUGAACAUGUGAAGGCCAUGUUACUUUUGUCUUCAAGAAACCUUAUAGAGACAAAAUACAGAUGGCUGCUUGAAUUUGAUGACAGCAUCAUAACUGUUGCUGACAUUUCAGCUUACCAAUCUAGUCAUCUCAGAAAAACUUGGGUAUCUAAUUUACAUAUCAAUGCAUCAAAAGUCAGAAUUCUCCGGCGUUGGCAUGCAUGCAUCUCUCUGCAUUUACAUUCAGAAGCCCUUUCGAACACUCAAUUAAUGUAAUGACAUUCGUUACUCUGCAUCAGCACAAGUUUUUGAACAAAUUAAGCUCUGUGAAAACCGAUCAGCACAAGACCAAAUCUGAGUUAGGUAAAACAAAUUUGAGUCAUCCAUUUAAUCAGUUCAAUAUAUCUUUGAUCUCUUGCACUAGCAGCAAGAACCGAGGAUCGUACAUUUUCAUUUAAGUCAUAUCUCAAAUGGCUUCUGAUAGUUCAACGUCAGAAAUGGAUUAAUCAAAAUAUACAUACAACUGCACAUAUGCAUAAGAACAUUCAUACAUGUUUUUACAUUCAUAGACGUCCAUGCGCAUAAACUUCUAAUUCUUGCCGGAUGAUAUGCUGGGUACAAUCCGAUGUUGUUCCUACACUUCACUUCCGUUAGCUCCAAAAGAGAGAUUUAAACGAAAUGGGGAUUCCCAUAACUGCGACAAUACACAUGUUUACAUCAAUAAUCGUUCUUAGGCCUUUCGUGAUCUACACUGCUGUGGAAACUUGAAGGAUAAUCUACCCUGAUCAUGUAUAUUCGUAUCCAGAGGGUGGUUUGGACAGCUGGGGCACUCCAUCCAACAUACUCAGUUUUCUUCUCACGUUAACAAUGUGGGCUUGCACCUAUGAAGUUGAACAAAAUGUCAAGAAGUUAGACCAGUCAAACAGGCAUAAAGAAAGACCAAAACAACAAGAACUGAUAUGGACAACAGCACAUGCAAUCAGGCAUAGCUACACAUGAAACCCAAGCCCAUAACAAAAGUUGUAAGUUACAAGAUAAAACUUAAUCAGAAGCAUUCAAGAUAGUGCAGGACACAUAAGGCAUCCUUCAAUAACCUGGUAUUAACUUGUCAAACUUGACCACAUGUUACGAGAAAGAGCAAAACAAGUCACAAGAAUUUACAAGGACAACAGUACUUGCAACAUGGCAUGGCUACUAGUGACACCAAGCCAUAAAUAAAACAACAAGUUAGAAGAUAAAACUCAAUCAGAUGCAUUCAAGAAAGCGCAGGGCACAUAAGACAACCAGCAAGACUUGAUCACAAUGAAGUGACCUAACCAGGAUACAUAUACAAUAUAAAGAAAGAGAAGCAGAUCAGAAUGACCAGCCCAACAUUGAAGCUAGGAAUAGCAUGUAAUCUCUAGCGAGUAACCCUAGACAGCAGUGCCCUAACAUGACACCAAUAAGCAUGAUCAUACAAGCUCUUAUAUUAACAAAUUAAAAUAAAAUAAAACAAACGAGUGUUUUCAUUCUUAACAGGUGAAAAGGGGGGUGGGGAGGUAAUAAGUUAAGAAUAUGUUAGUUCCAAACUAGUAGUAUUUUACAAGGCAUAAACGCAGUACAAAUGGAGCUGAAGCCACAUUGAUUAGUUCAAAAAGAAAAGCAGAUAGCAACCAAUUCUAACCUCCUGACGAGCCGCUGCAAGUUUUAAGAGCUCAUCAGGCUCUGAAAAAUUCAAGAACCACUGACUAAGGGGAUGAUCUUUUGUGUCCCCUCGUCCCUUUUCAUUCGCGCGAUCAAUCGAUUCUGUAGAAGUCAACAUAUGAAGUUUAAAACCAAAGGAAUUUAAGAAGCAGGAGUUGAAAAACCAGCAAUGCAAGAAAUUUACCAGGAUUAGGCAAGUUAAAACCAGCAGGCAAACGGGGCACUACAACAGCUGGAUGGUUCUGCACACGAGCAACAAAGGCUUCUGAAGGAUCAGGGAAAACUAAUUCAUUGUAAGAUUCCAUAACAACAGGUUUCUUGGUUGACUGGGGCCCAGAUUCGUCUUCAGUAUAUAACUUCAAAGGGUGAAACCUGCAGAUGAUAUGAGCUCCAGUAAUUAUUGAUCUGCCUUGUGGGCCUUUUCAAGCAGAUGAAAUCAAUAUCACAAUAUGCAACUCACAAGUCCAACUGUCUCUCACAGACAUCACUGUGGAAGAACAGACUGAUGGAAAUUUCAAAUUCACCCCAACCACAUUCUGUUAAUUCAAAUGGGGGUGAAUCAACCACUCUCAUAGGGUUAUUGAAACUAGGAUGCAAUUGAAAUAUAACUCGCUUUACCACCACCCCAAGGUCUUCGUUUGUUGCCCCACGAACAUAAACCGUCCACUUAUGGGACUGAGACCUAAAUAACAGAAAACAGUACAGGAAAAUGAUCAAAUAAUCUACUAAAAGCAAAACGCAUACAACAUGACCCAAGCAAAUGAAUACUUACUCACUGGCCUUCCUACCAAGAUAGAAUGCGAUUGUCCCAUACACUAUUGGCACACAAAUCUCGACAUCCUUAAGUCUCCUGUUUGUGCCCUAUGAAAAUUCAAAUAAAAAAGCAUCAUAAAUGUUUAUUGAAAAAAGAAAAGAAGAUGGGCAUUGAUUACAGCUAAACAAAUUUUCCGGGUCUUCUAGCCCCACAGUACAAACCUCAUAUUAUUUAAUAUAAUAGAGAGUGCUACAAAUUGGCAUAAUGAACACGAAAUGUCAGACCUAAACAUGGAAUUCAAAUAUAUGGAACCAACAAAUGCAUAAAUCUUUUAACGUUAGCUCGUUGCUUCCUCAAAUUCAAUUAACUCAGAAACACGUAACUGCAGAAACUAACAGAAAAAGGAUAGAUUUUAUAGAAGACAAAGUGAAAAAUUCAAAAUUUUCAGCCUCAUAGUUACAUUCAUAGAAACCCACAAAAAUUUUAGCCCACGAACAGCACAAGAAUGCACUACCUUCUUGUCGCUAUCUUCAGCAGACUUGGAAAUGCGGAUUGACUGUGACGUUUGUGCAGAACCACCCUCCUCAGGCUGAGGCUGAGUUUCACCUACUUUUCUGACUGACAUUGUGACCAAAAUUCAAGCUUCCGUCCUUGUCAAUUCAAAGAGAGCAAUGAAAACACAGAGUUGAACGCACAAAGCACAAAAGGGUUUUGAUUUUGCGAAUUCGUAUGGCACAAAUUGGGUAUCAGAAAGGGCAAAUUGGAGGUAUAAAGGGGGUUAGGGUUUUAGUUCAUUUGCUUUUGGUUUGGUAUUUUCAGCGGGAUUUCGAACUCUUUUAUUCCAUGCGAAAAUACAAAAAAUUUGACCAAAAUGUUUUCUGUUGUUGUUGUAUUGGAUGACGUCUAAAUGAAAGGAUAACAUUUAUUAUUAGUAAAAAAAAAAUAAAGAAGAUACGAUAAAAUAAAAUUUUUUUUUUUUAAAAAAAAAGCGCCAAUGGGCUACCAUGACAAAAUUAAAUACUCAGCCAGCCUACCAUAACACUCAACACUCGAAUUUUUUAAUUUUUUUAUACAAAGAAAAUUGAAAAGAGACCAUUUAAAUACAGAAUGAAUGCUGAAGUAAUUUCUUGUAACCACUUGUGCUACAUGCCCCUUACUCAAUACUUGAAUUCUUAGCCAAGUACCACGCUUGAUAUAAAAUAUUUCUAGUUAAAAUAUCAUCCGACAAAUGCAGCAUUGGUGGGAACAUAUUCAGAUGAUUAACAAAUGAGAUUUGGAUUCCAAUUAAUGUACGAUUUUCUGCGUUUGGUUAAACAACAGCAUAAAUGCACAACUAGAUAAUGAGUUCAAGGGGGCUCUUCACAAUGUUACAAUCGAAAGAAAGGGUCUCAGACAGAGAUUGCUAUCCAGGGUCGCUCAUUCCUAGUUUUCUUUCUGGUUUGUUGACGUAUGGGUGGGAUUGAUCCAAACAGUGUUGCAAAGCAAGCCACCGGACACCAACCAACGGGCAGGCGAGCGUACCAGAUUAGAUGUUCGAAGCACUCAAAGCCAUCACCUUGCAUUGUUCAUUCAUGGCCAGAAGUUGGGCCUCUUUCUUGUCAAGAAGAGCACUCAGCUUCACAUUUUCUUCCAUAAGUUUCUGAACUUCUGUCUCUUUCUGGAUUUUCUCACCCUCUAACUGUGUUGUUUUUGCAACUAGCCUGUUUCAAAGCAACAUCAGAUGAUAAAACAACAAAACAUUUCCAUCUAGGGUAUAUGGAUGUAGAAAGGGAUGAGAUGGCAUCAGAUUACUGCACAGGCAUAAACAUAUGACUGCUGCUGCUGAAAAACAUAAGAACAACACAUGCAAGUGCACGAGUGUGCCCGUAUGCAGAAGCCAAAGCUACCUUCUUGACCAAAUGAUCUAACAAUACCAGACUAAAAACCCAUUUUAUUAUCUGCAAAAUAGCUCCAGAAAUUCCAACUUCCGGAAGACCAAUCAAUUGUAUGACCAAAGCAAUUAAAAGAAUUUGAAAACUCAGCACCUAAAUAGAUCAAACCAACAAUUUCUAAAUCAGUGCUUGGUAGUUUCAUGCUUGAUAAGUCACCCAGCAAGAUCUGAACAAUACAGUGCCCAGCAAAGCACUCAAGCAGUGAUAACUGCCAGGACAACUAGAUGCAAGCAACAGUGAAACAAGGGAGGCCUCAACCUAGUAAAGAAAUAGAAAAGAAAUUCUAGCAAUAAAAUCUGGCACAACCAUCCAAAUGAUAGAAGAACAAGCACUUGAUAAUUGAGAAGAAUGAAUAUCUGUUGAGUGCAGAACAAAACAUACUGACCGCUCAAACAGCUUUUCAAUAGUUUGGAACUGCUUCUCUGAUGAAAGCAGUGUUUCUCGUACAGUGAUGAGACUGCUAACAUAUGAUUUUAGAGACUCAAAGUCCCGCUUCACACGACAAAGCUCCUGUUCAUUUUCUGCAGCUCGUUGCCGCUGUCUAUAUGUUUCUUCAACCAAAUCCUCAACUCUCUGCUUCAUUUCCGUUAGAAUACCAUUUGUGCCUAGAGCAAACCGUUCCAUCUCUUCUAACUUCAAAGACAUAUUCUCAAUUUGGAUUGACUUUUUCUUAAGUUCCUCCGCACCAACAGUUACCUUCUCCUUCUCAAUUGCAGUUUCGGAUUCUGCCAGUACAACUCUCUUGACAAGAGCUUCCAUUACGUCUGUAACCAUCUGCACAGACUUAAGUAGUUCACCAAUAUAAGUUGCAUCUUGUUCAUCCAGAGGACCAUGUUGCUUACUAAUCCCAAUCCAUGUGUCUUCAUCUGGACUAUCAAAGGAAGAAAGAUCCACAUUCCUAGACCAACCAGAUAACGGUGUACCAUCUUUAUCAACAAACCCCACCCCUUCUAAUUGUUUGAUGCCACACGAUGUAUGCGCUAAAUGAGGAACAGCCAUUAGUCUUGCUUUUGAUUUCAAGUAUGUUAACAGCGUUGCGGUAGUUUUAACUCUCCGCCAAAGAACCUCUAGUUCCUUUUUCGAAUCUUCCUCAGACCCCUCUAUACAAACCUUUACCUCCAUAAGCUUUUUUUGUAAUACAUCCACUUGGGAUUGGCGCUCUUCCAUCUCCUGCUUCCAUAUUUCCUGUGUUUGGCUCAGCUGAGACUUCAACGUUGACAACUCAACAUCUUCCUCUACUGCCAUCCCCUGUUCAAAGUUGUCAAAAUGAAAAUGAAAAGUUCCAAAUAUACUGUAAAGUGACCACUUCAAUAUCAAAGGCAUAACCACCUUUGGAUCCUUCAAAGGAAUAAGACAUUAUGAAGGUUAAACAAAGUUAUAAGCAACAAGGUGCCUGCUAACUCAAAUAGGACUUAUAACAGGAGAAAAUAUAUACGAGUAAGUUUAAUAGCACACGCCAUAUAUCAAGUUUCCAUCUUGCAACAUGGGGCAUACUUCUCUGGUCAAAGCAGCAGAAAUGCACCCAAAUCAAGCAAAUCCAUGCUUAAGCAUAUUAAACACAUUCACCACUCAAAACAGGAAAAAAUCUUAAACCCAAGCUGCAUAUUACAGUGCACAAGAGCUGGGAUGUCUGCAUGAUGCAGAGUUGAACUUCAAGCAAUGUUGGUUAUAUGCACACACACACUCUAUUGCAAAGAUCCUAAUACGUUGCUAGAGACAGGAAAGGAGAUUUAAAGUUGAAUAAAGCUAUAUCCACGACCUCGGAAAUAAAUUUUAACAUGCAUAAUACAUUUUUUAGUUCAUCAAAAGAGGAAAAAAAAAGGGUGAUUAUCACCUGGGUACUUUCUGUAUUUUCCUGAAAAGCUAUACAAAUCAUAUUAUUAACUAACCAGCAUCACUCAAAAAUGAACUCAGAUGACCAAACAACAGCCCACUAACUCAAAUGCAUCCCUCAACUAUGCCUCUAUGAGGCCUACGCAAAAUAAGUAAUAGGAAUAACAACUGUAAGUAGAAGUUCCUACUGAGAGGAAGUCUAUCCAGAAUAAUGCGUUUGGAGAUCCUUAGGAAAAGGCAUACUUUAAAAAACACAAAUUAAAGAAGAUCCAACGUGUGAAUCAUAAAUCUAAGGCUAUUUCCAGUUCAAAAAAUUUUAACUUCCGAGAAAUGGAGGGGGAAAUAAAUAAAUUAAUAUCUGUACAAAACUCAAAUUAUGAUAAACUAACAGCAGAAUCUGGUAACAAUGAACAAAUGAAACCCUAAUUAUCACAUUGGGUUGAUAAUUCCGUCAAUUUUGGCUUUAUAGUUCAUCUGACUAAUCGCAUACAAGCAAAAUCCGAUCUUAACAAAAAGCCUAAACUUAACAAAGUGACAAAACAGAACUGAUACAGGCACGUAAUUACAAAAACAAAAUAAAAGCUACGAUCUAACACGGCAAAGAGAACGAUAAGAUGAACGAUUAAAGCCAAACCAAAGCUCCGAAAAAAGAAAAUGAGAUAGAAAUGAGAACAGACCCUUGGAAUUGAGGAAAAGGCAAGGGAUUUUGAGGGGUUUUGAGUGCAGGAGCUGAAGGUUUGGUGCUGGUGCCGUCUUCUUCUUCGUCCAGCACACCGUUUUUUUUUUCUUUGGGUAAGAAAUGGCAAUAAUAACAAGAAUGAAUGUGAGAGGGAAAGGGCAGCUGUGGUGCUUUCUUUUUUGUCCACCCUUUGCUUUUGUGUUCUUUCUUUUUCUAUUUUCAAAUAAACAAAUAAAAACCUGAAUUUUCUGAAAAAAUGUUUAUAGGCCGACCAGUAUAAUUUACAUCAUGACUAAGAUUUAAUUCAAUUAUUAAAGUAACUAUGUUGGGUUAAGUGGUCCUUCACUUUUGAGCAACAAGCUCAAAAAAGAAAAAAAAUACAAAAAAAAAAAAAAUUGUAAUAGGUUAGUGAAUUUAACUCUGAGGUUGUGAUUUGUGGCUCAAGUCAAGUGGUAGGCCUCAUAUAUUUUUGUAUUAAAAAAAGAUUAGUGAAACUCAAACAAAAAACGUUUUAAAAAAAUAGGUUAAUGAGUUUGGACGAGAGUAGGAUGGGUCCUCGUGUUGCAUCACCUUCUUUUAAUUUGACCCAAAAAAACUAUUAAGUUAAUAUUGUUGUAAAUUCAUAAUGUUCUUUGUUGUGUGUUGCAAGAAGAAUCCAUUGCUUACAUUGACAACAUGGGCGGUAAAGGACUUGAUGUGGGAUUAAAGUUACUUUUUGUUUCUCUUUGAAGGCUAUUCACUGUUCAUGUAUCUAUCAAGUUUGAUUUUAUUUUAGAUGAAGAAAGGGUUGCAUUUUGGGUUAUGGGAUGAAAUUCAUUGAAAUUCUUUCAAGUUUGAUUUCAUUGAAAACUCAUAUUUACAUCUCAGGGAAAUGGGCAAACCAGUCUGGUGUUCCUAGCUAAAACCAGCGUGAGAUCAAGCACCUCAAUCUCUACCUGAAACACUUAAAAAGACUGAUAGGAGCAGCUAUUUCAUGGCAUUUUACAUGUAGUUUAUUUAGCUAUGGAUUUCCUGCAGGCUAUAUAUUGUACAAAAAUGAAAGCGAUUAUAUAGCAGGAGUGCUCUUCUAUGAGAAAGUCUUGGGAACUGAAGAACUGGUAACUAAGCCUGAGAGGAGGGCCACAAUGAGUGCACUAUUGUAAGUGCUUGGUUCACCUUGCAUCGAAUUGUUCCGGUUAUCGAUAUAGGUUUCAUUCAGGAAGGGGCCUCCAACUAGAGCACCAACAGCUACAUUUGGAUUGGGAUUGGAAGAGUUCAGCCACUUAAACCCGUCCUGGCAGCCGGUAUGUGCAUCAGCUGGAAUUGAAGAUCCCCUGUGGUGCACAUACUGAGGGUACUUGCUCCCAUACCCAACAAGAUAGCUCAUCGCCAUUGGAUUUUCGCCCAACACAUAAUCUACCUGAAGAAUGUUUAGUAAUUUGGUCAGAUUAAUGCAGAGAGAGACAGUAACUUUGGAACUUUACUUAAACAUCAAAAGAUGAAUCAGUCUCCAGAAUCCAUUCAAAACUAUUGCAACUUAUUGCCAACAGAUUGAAUACCUGAGAGAUGGCAAAGUUACGAAGAUCGGUAGGCUUGUAGAAUUUCCCAUCACAAUACAGCACUUCAGUCUGAGAUGUAAGCAUGUAGUCACUAUAGAGAACGGCUAGAAAUGCUGAAGCCACAGCAUGCUGCAGACAGUUCCAUUUUAUCACCCAUAUCAGACCACCUAUAUCACAAGACACAUAGAACUUCAUCAAUUUAGUCUGCUCCCACACAGUCGUUCAGCAUAACACACAAAUAGAUUCACUGAUACCGUAAAAGACUGAAAAAAUUACUGGCUGUUCUGCUGGAUGUGGCCGUGGGCGAAUCAGGUAGAAGUCCACACAUGAAGACCUCUGCAGUUUCUCUGUACUUUUGAAGGUCCAUGUUCUCUGCAAAUGAGAUGUCUUUUGUACCAAAGAAACUUAUCCUGGACAGUAGAACCUGCUCCCAAAAAUGUCACAAAUAUUAGCAUAAUCAGAACUUUGCAGAGUCAGCUAGAUGUAUCCUCUCUCCCUGAUGCUUGCAGAUGAAAUUAGCAUAUACUACUUUGUAUAAACAAUUCUUAGCAACAAGGUAUAUGAUUACUGAUCAUUAGAAAUAAGAGCUAUAUUGAUGAUCUUAACAACAAAAUGGACGACUGUAAAUAUAGAUAAUCUGAGCUUAUAAACUACAUCUGACAACUUUGGCAUGAAUUCAACAUUCAAGUACCAUAUGAAGAACUAAAUGGAAACCAGUUACAGAACUCCUUAUAAUAUAUACCUGAGUAGCAGCAUGCUUGUCGUCCCAACUAAACCAAGAUGGACUUCCCCAGUUAGCAAAUGCCGGGCCGUUCUGUUCGGUUGCAUAUUUGAAGUAUGUCAAGUCUCCAGUGGCAUGAUAGAGCCAGGUAGCUGCCCACAAGAGUUCAUCUCCAUAUCCCGUUGAGUUGUAGUAAAUCUGCACUUGGGGUAUGCUUACACUAUAAGAACCUCUGUAAGUAUCAGCAAAAGCAAACAGCUGCUGGGCAUGCAUGAGGAGCAACUUAGAAUAAGAGGAGUUGAUUUUCCUGAAAACCAGAGAUGCUGAUGCCAUAGCUGCUGCAGUUUCUGCUGCAACAUCUGUUCCUGGGAAAGAUGUGUUAAUUUGAAUCAGAGGCCUUUCCUCUGUCAUGACUUCAGGUCUCUGCCAACACUUGUGGUCCAAGUCAGGAUCACCCACCUUCAACCACAUACAAGCAAUCAAUAAAUAAACAAGUUCCAAAGGUUAAUUCUCCCCCCAAAAAAAAGCCAUACAAUUGUGUUAUUACAUUUGUUCACCAAAUAAUGUCUAAACACACUUUUGAACCUUGUUUAUUCUAAUAAGUUACUAUCGUGAUAUGCGUGCUAAAGGUAAUGUUCUCUUAUCAAACUUAUGUUGCAAGACAGAUACUCGUGUUGUUGUAAAAAAUAUUAGGCAAUUAGACCUGAAUAUAGAGCUCAUUGGGAGAAGGAUGUGCAUUGAUAAGGUAAUCAGUGAUCCAUUUAAGCGAGUCAUGGGCAUGAUCCAAUUGCUUCACCGCUUUCAUCUGAUCUCCAUAUUCAAGAAUUCCCCAAGACAACACAGUCGCCGUAAAAGCCAUGGGGAACCCAAACUUGAUGAGGUCCCCUGCAUCAUACAGUCCUUUUGACAAAUCCAAAUCCUCCUCACUCCCAUCUUGGAGCCCCGAAUCCCCUCUCCAUGGAAUCGGAUUAUCCACAAGCUUACCAGCUACAAACAACAACAAAGAAGUCUACAACAUCAACAACAUGCAUAGUUAUUAUAACCAAAAAAAUCAAAUCAAAACGAGAAUUGGAGAACUGGGUUUGUUUACAUUUCUGGAUAUCAAAGAACUGCAUGGAGAGUUGAAGAGCUUCUGAGUAUUUUUGCACUACGGGGCCGGGGCGACCCGAGACACGACUUGAAUUGGAGUGCUUGAAAUACUUCAAGAGAGUGAGUGCAGCCAUAGUGGCAACCAGAGAUACAGUUACUAACAGAAUUAACCGCCAGCACCAUCUCUCUGUCUUUGACCCUUUCUGAGCAGCUUUCUCAGCUCUCUCUUCCAUUUACACAACUAAGAGCACAACUUCUUUCAACCAUUCUCAACAAGAUUUCAGCUUUUGCUUUGUUAAGACUAAAUCAGAUUGUUUUUUUCAGACCCAGAAAAGAAAAAGUAAAAAAAUUCGAUCUUUGUUUUACUUGUUGGACUCAGGCUUGGAGAUGAGACAGAGUCCAUAAGGGCAUGUGUGAGUGCGACUGGGCCUUCGGAUUGGUGGGGUGGGGGUUUGCGUGGAAGGUUGAGAUGUGGCCGAAGAAUGAUGCCAUUAUGUCGGGGAGGCAGACGGCCAAAAACUGCCAGGUACAGCUAGGGCUUUGUUUUGAAACCGGAAGAGAUGAUAGAUUAUUAGAUUGUGCUUGCCUUGUCAUUUUCUGUUCCAACUCCAUGGGAAGAGAAAACCUUGGGUGAGUACUUACCUGCCAUUUGGCAAUGAUGAGUGGCAAGGUAACCUCCACCUGUCUUUGACACGUGGCAAUUUAUGCCAGGCCCAUACCUACUUAAGUAUUGCCAUUGGAUCAAAUUUAAGUCUAUCCAAUGGUCAAAAUCAUGCACAAAUUUCUCUCUACUAGAUUGAGGAAUUGGUUUGCAUUUUGAUUUGGAUGAAGAUCAUUUUAUUUCUGCUUGAGAUCUCAACUCAUGUCAUCUUGAUUCUUUCAAGUUCAAAAUAUGUUGGUUUUCUUAAAUUUUUUUAAAAUUAUUGAUUUUCUAAUGAGCCUAUGGAAACAGGUUAUUUUUCUUUAAUUAUGUUACAAUGUCAAGUUAAAAUAUUUACGGGUCAAUGAUAAAUAUUUGUGUAAACUUCAUUCCCUGGUUUAAUUGUGAGUCAAUUGAGAGCUCUUUUUCAUGAUGAGCAUACUCAUCAAACUUGUUACAUCUCUUGGGCCAGAGAUUGUAAACUUUAUUUUUGUCUAAAGAAAAAUAAAAAAAAUAUCUUGGGCCAUAGAAGAUUGGUUAAAGUUUUUCAACCUUCAUGUUCAGCACCCAGAGGCCCUGGUCAACUAAAUCCUAUGUGGACCAGCCUAGCAAAUUACGGUGGUGCCGCGAAACGGCCCAAGUUAUCCUUCCAUCGAGGUCAAGGGCGCGAGAGGUGUGAACUGCACUGACAACUGAAGAGCUCCGUAGUCCGUACGAUCCCUGUGCCCUCGCUCCUAUACCAUUGGAGCUCUAGCUUAUUAUAUACACGCAGUGAGUCACAGAGAGACAAAUAUUUAUAGAUACAGAGAAAAGAAGAGGAGAAGAGCAAGGUGAUUAGUAAAACUUCAAACUCUUAAUUAACAAUGGCGGAAGGAAGGGAAGGUGAUUGGGAAUGCAGUGGAUGCAGGAACAGAAACUACGCCUUCAGAUCCUUCUGCAAUCGCUGCAAGCAGCCUCGCCUUCUCGUCGACACCAAAACCCCCGCCGACUCCAAAUGGCUCCCUCGUAUUGGCGAUUGGAUCUGUACCGGUUAGACCUCACACCUCUCUCUCUGUCUCUCUCUCUCUCUCUCUCUCUCUUCUCUCUACGUGUGCGUUAAUUUUUUAAAUGUUAAAUGGUUAGAGUUCUUGGGAUUUUGGAUAAUUCAGGGAUAUGGGUUUUAAGGGUAUUCACGUUGGGUUCUGUUUGAACUGUACCCCGCAUAAUAGUAGCUACUUCAGCUCUUUAAGAUAGUUUUAGGGUCAAUUUUUGUUGAUAAUUGAGAAUUUUAGCUGAGAAUGCCAUCUCCUUAGUUCAAUUCAUUCCGUGGCUCCCAUCUUCAGUGACCUUUUAUUAAGUUUGAUUAAAAGUCUCAAUCUUUGAAACUUAAACAAGAGAAGGAGGGUGAUAUUCCUAAAUCGUUAAUUGUGUUUUGUUGAGAGCAGAUAGUGGUUCAGUAUGGCAGUUGGGUGACAUGCUCUGUUUUGUAAAUAAGAAUGUAGGGGAAGGAUGAUAUACAGGUCUGGAGCUUAAUUUUCUAAUAAUUAAAACUCAAAUAUUAUCACCCCUCUCUACUUUUCUCAAUUUCCUAAUUUAACAAAUCGACAGCUUUUUUCCAGCUGCAUUCACUAUAAUUUCACAUCAGUAUACGUUUUCUUAUAUAGCUGUGCUAGUGACAUGAUUUAUUGAACGAAAGCACAUAGUUGUUGUUCCUGCAGCUUUUGUAUUUCGUUGCUUCUACUUUUCUGUCAUUUUGAAAAAAUAGGAACUUGCUAUCAAUUAGGUUGAGUGGUUUUUGUUUCUUGUAUGUGUGUUUUGGUGUGGGAUGGACUGGUUGGUGUGCGUAUACAUGGCUUCCUUUCUUCUUCCUGGCUGGAUUGUGGGUUGGGUGUGUAUGGCAAUGGAUCAAUAGGUUGCACUAACAACAAUUAUGCAUCAAGAGAGAAGUGCAAGAAGUGCGGGCAACCAAAGGAGGUGGCGGCAAUGCCAGCAAUUGCAAUGCCUGGAGCUUCUCUCCCAACUUAUUCACAUUAUUUUGCCAGGGCCCAAGGAGGACUGGACCAAAAGAUGAAUAUCGGAAUAAUGGGCAAUGGUGCUCCCCAUCAGUCGCUUCCUCUGAACUGGUCUAUGGCAGGGGCUGAUAAAUAUGGAGUUCAGCCACCUUCGUCUUGGUCUGUAGGUGGGAACCAUAAUGCUGGACUUCUAUAUUCAAACCCUACUAAUCAGCUUCUUUCAGUUCCAAAAGGAUGGCGCAGCGGUGACUGGUUAUGCAAUUGCGGUUUCCACAAUUAUUCGUCUCGAACACAGGUAUGAUGACACUACAUGAGCAUUCAAAUAAAAAAUUGUUCAUUACCUGAAUGUUGAUAUCUGAUCCACCUGUGAUUUAUCUGCAGUGCAAAAAAUGCAAUGCUUUUCCACCAGGUACACUCUUUCUCGAUCAGUAUGGCAAUUGGUUAUCAUAGAUUUAUGUUUUAGAAGCACUUGAGCUACUGUUAUUGGGUUUCAAUAUUAAGCACUGGCAUCAUGAAUUGUAACUAAUGCUCAUUUAUUUCCAUUAUAAAGCUCUUGGAACAAAGCGAUUAGCAUCGGAAGAGCUUGUUCAUGACUGGGAUAACAAGAGAUUGAACAUAGGAAGUGUAAGUUUGAUUUAUCUAUUCUAUGACAUUUUAGAUUAUAACAUUGUAAAUAACAUACAAUGUCAAUGUUUUCUUCUUCUCCUCAUCCUUUCCUUAUUCUUUUCACUAAUGCAGACAGUUGGGCAUCAGCAAUCCUAUCCUGGGUUUGAGCAAGUGGUAGGCACCAGUGGUAACCCUGUAACUGGACCUUACGCUUCAUAUCCUCCCAGUAUAAGCUCAGGCAUGGCUCCGAAUUUGCAAGUCCCCAUGCCAUUGACACAGCAAACAACGACACCUACACUCCUUGGCAAAGGGUAAAUUUGGAAUCACUUUUUCCUUUUACAUAUGCAUAAGUAGGUGUCACAUUCUGUCGGUUUGAUAACUUUUUUGGUCUUUGAAUCUUAUGAUAUGUGUAUAUUAUAACUCUUGUUAACAAAUAUAAAGUAUUCAUGUUUAUUUUGUUGUUUUCAGUUUCACAGCUUUUUGAAUGUGGAUAAAUUGUGGACUAUCCCUAAUUUUAACUUAGCUUCUGUGGUCUGGGUUACUUAUAUUUUAUUGACUUGGCAGAGCAAAGCAAUGGCGUAAUGGGGAUUGGAUGUGCACAAAUUGCAACAAUCAUAAUUAUGCGUCUCGGUUAAAUUGCAAUAGGUUAGUUUUCAAUCUUAUUAAGUUGAAUUCAUGAUGAAUGCGUUCUAAACUAAACAUUGAUUCCUCUUUUUCUAUUUCCAGUUUGCUUCCGCCCCUUUAUGAAUACCCUUUGUUACUUAUCCUAUUCCUGGGUUUUAAUCCCAACUUUUGAUGGUGUAGAAACUUUUUUCCCAUAACGCAUGGAAUAUAUCCUGGUAGAUUGUUGCUUGAUUUUUCUUGCCUUGGGAGUAGUCAAACCUCUUUCUCAAUUUUUCCUUUGCUUCACUUUUUAAUAAGAACAGGAAUCUCAAAUGUGUGUACCACUGAUCCUAUCAGCAAAUAUGUGUUUUCAGAAUUGCACCAACUGUUUAUAAUUUAUGGGUGUACUUCUUGAUGCUCCAUGUUGAGACAUGUAACUUAUCUCCAUUAGUACGUUGUAAUUUGCUCAGAAUGUUGGAAUCUUUGUUUUCUGCAGGUGCAAGACUCAAAGAGAUGCAACCGCUCAGCCGGUCAAUGUCAUGUAGUCUUUCAAAAUUAUGAAGUUGUUUCAACCUUCCAUUCAUUUUGAACUAUGUUGAGGUGAAGAUGAACGUUUUCUAUAACCUUUGGUUAUCUCCAUGGUGAUACGUUAUUAAGAUAGUAGAUUGAUAUUUCAAUCUUAGUCUCCGCUCGCCAAGAAUGUAAUUUUAUAGCCAUAGUUUCAUCUCAUAUAGAAAGGAUGGGUGCGUAUAUACUGUAUUGAUCGAGUAAUAUUACAUGCUCAAAACUAGUUUUUUUCCUUCAAACAUUCUUUUGGAUUCUCCAUCGCUUAAUUCUCUGAAAUUAGUAUCUGGUGACAUUUCGUCCCACAUAUUCAACACAACAUGCACACACAGGCAAAUUUCUAGCUGGUCCUUUAUAUUGAAUCUUUGAGCUGAGAUAGGUACGGACAACCCAAGUCUGCUUUAAAGGUGAAACGAUGGUGAAUUAUCAUCACAUCAAAAUCAGAAAUACAAAAUCUCUCUGGAAAAGAAAGAAAAAAGAAAAGAAAAAUGGGUUCUAAGAUUGGUGACAUAUUGGAUGUUGUGCAGGUUUAAUUGCUGUUAUGAGACUCAGGAACCCUUGAGGAUUGAAGUGGGAGAGAGAGGAGGUGCAUCCAACUGGUAAAGGUUAAGUGCUGGUCCAACAAACCUGAAGCAAAGCCAAGCUCCAAUCACAAUGUAAAUGGAAGCAUAAGCAAACUUGUUUAUCCAAAAUAGCAACCCUUUCUCCCCCACAUAAAGUUCCAAGGCCUUCUCACCCAGACUCAUAUCCUCCCACUUCUUCGGAGCAGCAGCAGGUUUAGUAAUAGCUUGAGCCUUUGUGAACCGUCCACCAUCCCCAUCACUGCCCUCCUCUCUCUGCAGUUUCGUCCGCCUUCUCGACCUCUUUCGAAAUCGCAGUCCCGUGUUGUCCGGCGCCAGUGGCGGCGGCACGCUGUUACUGUCAGUUUCCGGACUACUGGUGUUGCCACCAUCACUGCCAGUGCUGUUGUAAAUGGGUGUAGAGAUUCUGAGACAUCCUGGACGGGUAGGUGAGAACCCUGAGAAGAUAUGGUUGUGUCCUGUUCCUGUAGGUUUUGAGAGGACAAGGUGGGUUGGUGAGGAUGGUGUUGAAGCGAGGAAAUGGAGGAGCUUGGCCUCCAUUGUUCAACUUCGUUGUUGCAGCCAAGUGAGUGGAUGGAUGGAUAGAUGGAUUUGCUUAUCACUUUCUUUAUCUUUUCUUUGGUUUUCUUCCACUAUGCGAUUAUAGGACCUUGCCAAUCUGCUUAAGAAUAGUUUGGUUGGGUGGGCUUUCGUUGGGCCUCAACGAUUUCAAAUUACUGCCCUGCCCUCCAUGCGCUCGCACACUUUCCCGUCAAAUUACUAAUCUUACUUCAAAUUACAAAAGGGUUCUAAAUAAACAAACUAGGGAGCUUCUAUUUUUAUGGUGCAAUGAGCUUGUUACUCAAGCAAUAACUCAUGCACCUAACAAAGAAGGGUGCAUUUUUGCUCACCACCUUAACCCUAGGUAUACUCUCACCAUCCUUCCUAAAAGUUGACACAUGUCCAUGAGUUUAACUAUGGUUUAUUUUUUAUUUUUUAUUUAUUUGAUAAUAUUAUUAUAAGAGGGAAACAAUAUUUCAAUAAGUUUUUUUUUUCUGAUUUACCUUUAUUAACCGCAAACUUUCCACUUUUCUAAAUUAAUUAACAACUACCCAAAUAAAUAAUUGGCAAUUGGCGUGCUUUAAUAUGAAUAUCAAUUCACAGGCCCCCUUGUCAUGAACACUAAAGCAACCUUGGGAACUCAAUGGAAUGGGUAGUCAUGAAUCCUAGGAGACAAGAUUCCAUUGCUUUAAAAUUAUGAACUUCCAUUAUGAGGCUGACAACCGAGUGCCCACAGUUUGAUCUUAAGUGUAUACCCAUACGCCUACGUGGGAGCUUUAAUGUUGAGAUUUAAGAUUUGAGUCUUAUGUGAUUCUCAUGUUUAUAUAAUGGGCCAGACUUCUGGACGACAAUGAGGGAAACUAUGACUUAUAUUGCUCGGGAGUGGUGCAACUGACCUCUUACAUGAGCACCGAACAAGGCUNNNNNNNNNNNNNNNNNNNNNNNNNNNNNNNNNNNNNNNNNNNNNNNNNNNNNNNNNNNNNNNNNNNNNNNNNNNNNNNNNNNNNNNNNNNNNNNNNNNNCAUAGAACCUCCAAAGGUUUUUCCCAACAUGAACGAUACAGAGUUGCUAUGGAGAUUUUCCAUGACUCAUAGGAUUCCUGACUAUCCAUUCCACGGAGUUCUCAAGGUUGCUUUCAUGCUCAUGAUAAGGGGACCUAUGAAUUGAUAUUCAUAUUAAAGCACGCCAAUUGCCAAUUAUUUAUUUGGGUAGUUGUUAAUUAAUUUAGAAAAGUGGAAAGUUUGCUAGGUUAAUAAAGGUAAAUCAGGAAAAAUCUUAUUGAAGUAUUGUUUCUAUCUCAUAAUAAUGUUAUCAAAUAAAUAAAAAAUAAAGAAUUAACCAUAGUUAAACCCAUGGACAUGUGUCAACUUUUGAGAGGGGUGGUGAGGGUACACCUAGAGUUAAGGUGGUGAGCAAAAAUGCACCCAACAAAGAAUGCAUGUAACAUAACUUUUAGACAACCAAAAAUAAUAAGAGAUAUUUAGUGAUAUACCCAUUUCUAGCACUAAUAUUAUAAAUAAACCCUACACAAUUGAAUUCCUAUAAACAAACCCAAAAAAAACCCAAAAAAUGAUAGCUGGCCUUAUUGAAUUUAAUAUUGAUUAUUAAAUUACUUUGAUGCCCUAUUGAGUGUUUUGGGUAUUUUUAUGAGAUUUUGGGGUUGGGCUUGUUUUAAGAAAUUGAUGGCAGUUUUGUAAUUUAUAAGAAGUUAAAAGCUUUUUUGUUAUGUUGUAAAUAGGCUUUGGGUGUGUUUCUAAAGUCCAUUUUAUAUAGGAUAUUUUUAUAAUUUGGGCCCCCAUAUUGGGUAUAAUAGUGAAUCUCCCAAAUAAUAAUAUAAUCAUGACAUGUGCUUGCUUCUUUCUUAAGGAAACCCUUUUAAAAGGCUUUUCCAAAAAGCAGUCAGAUUUUUGAUAAAAAUUUUAACAUGCUUGCUUCUAAUAAAAAUCACUAUAACUUGCUUUCUACAUAAUAGAAGCACUCUCAAAUUCUUUUUCAAGAAAUAGUUGGAUUUUCUAUAAAAAUUUGGGUUAAUUUUAAUUUGGUACCAUGAACUCUUAUUUUGAAGGCACGUUUAUUCAUGUACUCUCAAUUUUAAUGAUUACAAUAUGAUUACGGCGUUAACUUCAUCGUCAAAAUUUUCGUUAAUUACUUGCAUGGCAAGCUUGGGGCCUCCCUAUUCACUUCUUUCAAUGUCAGUUGAAUGGUAUUUGUUAAAAAAUAGUUUGGUAUUAGUGCGUGUAAUGUGUUCUUCAUGGGCGAGAAAGAUACCAAUUACCCAAAAAUACUCGUCAACUGACAUCAAAAUAAGCAAAUAGGUGAGAACCAUGCUUGCCAUACAAUCAAUUAAUAGAAAUUUUGAUGUUGAAGUUAACGCCGGAACCAGAUUGUAAAAAAUUGAAAAGCUAAAAAUAUGUAAUCAUUAAAAUUGAAUGUGCAUGAACAAACUUAAAAGUAAGAAUUUAGGAUACUAAAUCGAAAUUAACCACAAAAAUUUCAACAUGCUUUGCUUUUAAUAAAAACUUUUAUAACCACAAGUGCUUUUUACGGAAGCAUUCUCAAGCGAAUCCGAAAAAGUAACCUCGGCAUUAGGGCACCAAUCUCCUCACGAGUUCAGAAGGCAAAUCUAUUGAGAGCCUGCAUUCCUAUAUCUAUUCCAACUGCUUUACGAACCGUACACGUGUCCGAUGCCAUACAGGAAUGCGAUUCCAAUCCAAAUAUCCAAAUCCCGGCCGAAUCCAACUUUGUUCCACCCCAUAAAUACAAAUCUACCCCGCCACAAAGCCCAGAACUACAUCCAUAUCCCAAGCUUUUAUAGUCACAAAACUUGGGUUCAACUGCAAUCCAAACCUCCACAAAUACCGCUUCUGUCUACCCGCUCUCUCUACUUGUACCUGUCAUCUGUCUUUAGCUCCAAGCAAAAAUCAACUCGCCGAGUCAACUCGCGCAGCAACAGAGCCAGCCAUGACCGACAACAACAACACUAACACCAACCCAGACAAACCGGUCGACCCGUUUCUAGUCGGGUACCAGCCCUCGGAUCUCCAAAUCGCGUCGGAGUUCCUCACCAACUGGCUUUCCUUCCUCUCCAGAGAUCUCUGUAACCACUGCUCCACUAAACUCGCCGAUCGCGUCCGCUCCCUCGGCUCAGGUACGCCUUUAUUCGGUUUCCAUUUGUUUCCCCGGAAAAUUUAGGUCUAGAUAGUAUGUAAAGUAGGAAAAUUUCAAAUCUUUAUGUGUUUAAGUAGAAAGAGAACAGUAAAUUUAAUAAAUUUUGAUAUUGGAAUUCUUUUGUGGCAUAGCCUUAUCGGGAAUUUGUUGAUGGGUAUUGUAGAACUUGAUGGUGAUUCUAAACCGGUCAACCCAGAUGAAAAUUCCAGUGAUUUGACACCGAAGACCCCGGAAUUGCAGGGGGCUAGUGAUAAUGGUGAAGAUAAUUAUAAUGAUGAGGACUCAAAUUCACUAGGUAGUUGGAAAAACGGAGUUCAUGGGAUAUCUGAAUCCGACCCGGAAGCUUCUAGCAGUGGCUUGGCCCCUAAAUCCCCCUCUGUAGAGACUCAAAGUUCUCGAAUGUCGUGGGCCGAUAUGGCGCAGGAAGACGAGCUAGAGGAAGAGGAAGAGCGUGAAUUGAGUAAGCGGGUGGUGAAUGUAAAUGCCACAACUGGAGAGUUGAGGAUAACGAAGCCUACAUUGUCUAGGGAGCAGAGGGAGUACAUUAGGUUCAUGAAUGUAAAGAGGCAGAAAGAUUUUAUUUGUUUGGAGAGGGUCAAUGGGAAAUUUGCUAACAUUCUGGAGGGACUUGAGCUUCAUACUGGUAUCUUUAGUGCGGCGGAACAGAAGAGGAUAGUUGAUUUUGUUUAUUCGCUCCAAGAGAUGGGCAAGAAGGGUGAAUUGAAAGGUCAGUCUUUGCUUUUGGAAUGCCAAUACAGUGUGGUAUUCCUGUUGAUAUUUCUUGCUGUUUUUGGACAUUUGCUUUAUACAUCCAGUUUUUUAUAGGAGUUUUCUAUGUAUGCUAAUUUGAUACAUGAGCUUUAUGUACUAAAUUUCCAUACAUAGAAAAGCAUAAUGUUUUUAUUGCCUAGCUAGAAUGUAAGUAAAGACGUUCAAACUCUAUAACUAAGUUAACUUUGCAGGGUUAGAUCUUAUUACUUACUGCACAUAAUGUCUUUGGUUGCCUAUUAUAAAAUUAUAUUUGUUGUGGCCCUCAAGGUAUAUUUAGUAAUCAUUUUAGUUGUAAGUUGGCAAAAAUACUUUCUAUGUGGUAUAUGCCAGGAUAAGAUUCCCCCGCUGUUUUCUUGACGAGUUGUAAGUUAUCUUUAAUGUAUUGUUGAUACAGGAAAACAUACAAAAUUUAUUAUUUAGCUUAAACUUGUUUUUAUGCUAGUUAAUUCUGUUACAUGGAACUUUUAGUAUAUCCUUUUAAGUUUUUUUUUUCUUUUCUGAAUUUGAUUUCCAGUUCCAUUCUAAUAUAUUGAAUUUUUUUUUUUUCUUUUCUUAUUGGGAAAUGUAUAUACUGUUUGGCUAACCUAUUCUGAACUUGUUGCAGCGCGUACAUAUACAGCACCCCAAAAGUGGAUGAGGGGCAAGGGACGAGUAACCAUUCAGUUUGGUUGUUGCUACAAUUAUGCAGUGGUAUACUUUUCUGACUAUGGCAUCCAUAUCUGGUGACCUUAUAUCCUAUUUGACUAUUAAAUUUUGUAGAGAUCAGCUAAACUGUGAUUCUGGUGGAUAUCAGUAUAAUUACCGAAAUAUGCUCAAAGGAACUAUAAAGUGCUAGUCAUUUUAGAUGUUGCAUUGCAUCUGAUGUGCUAUGUUGGUUUCAGGAUAAAAAUGGUAAUCCACCUGGUAUCCUCCAGAAUGACGUAGUAGAUCCUAUACCUCCUCUUUUUAAGGUGAUCAUUAGGAGGCUGGUAAAGUGGCAUGUGCUUCCGCCGACCUGUGUACCUGAUAGUUGCAUUGUCAAUAUAUAUGAAGAAGGGGACUGUAUACCUCCGCAUGUUGACAACCAUGACUUCCUUCGACCUUUUUGUACUGUUUCAUUUCUUAGUGAGUGCGACAUACUUUUCGGAACAAACUUAAAGGUUAUUGGUGCUGGCGAGUUUGAUGGUUCAUUUGCAAUCCCCUUGCCUGUUGGGUACGUAUGCCAUCCAUAUUUGUGCCUGUGCAUUCUGUGCCCUUGUUUAGCCUCUACCCGUUGUUUUCAAUUACAUUUAUCCAUCACUCCUGUGUUUAGAAAUGUGGCUGUUUCGUCUGUUAUGCGAUUAGGGGCCGUGAUUUGAUGUUUGCUUGUGUGGCAUCCUCUUGUUUUUUGCCUUUUGCUGUUCCUUUGGUGUUUUGUUCUUGAGGCAGCAGUUUUCUCUUGUUUUGUGUUUUCUCUUGUGGAUCCCUUACCCACACCUUUUUUGUUUUGUUACCCUAUUUUGAAUAUAUCAUUUCUAUUUAUAUAAAAAAGGGCAUUUAUUUAUAUUAAAGUUUUAAUAUUUGCAUCAGCCUUUUCUUGGAUUCGAAAUCUUAACAAUCAGCCUUUUCCCAUGCAGAUCUGUUCUGGUUUUAAAUGGAAAGGGGGCUGAUGUGGCUAAGCAUUGUGUGCCUGCAGUACCUACAAAACGGUAAGAGCUAAAACAAUGCAGUAUAGUUCUUGUACUAAUGAUUUAUGUUCAGGCUAUUUACCUGCUCCUUUAUUGUAUGUCUUAGGAUAUCUAUCACAUUUAGAAGAAUGGAUGAAUUCAAACGGCCCAAGGGUUAUGCUCCAGAACCUGACUUGCAGGAUAUUCAACCAUUGUCCUAUGAAGAGGACAAGAUAAUUAGGUUAAAUACUCCUAGAGGCGAACGUCAGAGACAGUCAACUAGAAGAGUAGGUAACUCAGAAAUGAGGGGAUCUACAGAAAGAAGUCACGUCCACCCAGAGCCUCAUGACUCAACCUGGAGUCGACGCGGAUCUGGAAUGAGGUGGAACCGGGGAAGGGGGGUCAAUGUGAAUUUUGGGGGCUAGUUGAUGAUGGGUGCUUCAUUGUCAAGUUAAAGUGUUGCAGUUGGGCCAUUUCAACAUUUGGAGGGCUAAAUAUUGGUUUUUGACAUGUGGUCGUCAGAUGAGUUUGUCAUCAAGGUUGUUACAUAUUCAUAUUCCGGAAGAGCUGUAGGAAAAGGGUCUGAUUGGUUUUGUAUCUUUCUACAUCUAUUUAGGCUUGUCAACUGUGCUUUGGUUCAUUCUUUUUCCAAGAGCCAUAUGUGUGCAUUUUUUAGUAUAGUAUAGGCUAUAGCUGAAGUUCAGAGCAAGCGGCGAAGACGGUGGACAAAAUGAAACUUGCUGGCUUGAAUGCCACCUCAAUUUUAUUAGGAUGCUUUACUUAUAAGCAACUGGUUGCAUAAUUAGGGUAGCACUAUUGGGUUUGUGAGUUUGAAACAUGGGUGAUUUGUACCAUAUAUUGGAUCAUCAACCAACUUGAAGCUGGUUGUUUUUGUAGCAUAUUGCUACUUUUUAAUAUAUCCUAGCGUUGAUUGUAUGGUCAAAUGGGUGUGCUCUUAUUAUUCUUUGAUGAUCGAGGUUAAGUUUAGGAAUAUCUUUAGAUUAUUGGACCAUGAGCAUAAACAAGUGAAGAUUAAAAUACUCAUCAUCACAAAAUAAAACCCAACAAGAACAAGUGGGAAAAUAUUACUGCUUAAAGCUGUUUAUUGCAUGAAUUUCUAAUCUUGGUUUUCCUCAAUCCUCCCGAACCCAAGUUCCAAACUUUGAGAUUGUGGUCCACAGACCAUCCAGUCAAAAACUAUGGAGAAGCCAUUAUUUUUUUCCCCCAAACAAAAGAAAAUGUAAAAACAAGAUGAGAGAGAAGUUUGAACGCAACAGUAGUGGCUGGUUGGGGUGGUCCAAUAACCCACAAAUGCUUCAUUUACAUGCCAACCCUGAAACCCCAAAAGGCCUAACCUUUGCAUCAAUUAUGCAAGGUGGGGUCCACUCUAUAUAUGACCCUAGUGCUAUAGAAACAAAGCAUAUUAAACCACAUGAAAAGGCAACUGCGCUGCCCCUGCCAUCAAAACUUUAGACUUCAGAGGCAAAGUGGCAGCAGCCUAGCUAGCUAGCUAGCUAGCAAGGAAGCAAUAUCAUAUAUAUUAUAUAUAUAUAUAUAUAUAUAUAUGCGUGCGUGUGUGUGAGAGGGCGUCUUAUUAACUAUUCUAAGCAAAGUUUCUUGUAUUCAACAUAUUUAAAACGAAAUGCAUGUUUAUAUAUAUAUUUAUGGGUUUUCUUUCUAUUUCCCUUAUAAGAAGCAAAAGAAAAAAAAUUGAAUGAAUUCAAGGAGAGAGAGAUUAAAACUUGAGGCUAGGGUUCUUGCUCUAAAGAGAUGUAGAUGCAAGUCUCUAUCUUGGACUUAAGAGAAAGAAACCAAAAAGAAAAUUAAUGAGACUGUAUUAAGUAAUAGGGUUUUCUUUCUAUUUCCUUUAUAAGAAGCAAAAGAAAAAAAAUUGAAUGAAUUCAAGGAGAAAGAAAUUAAAACUUGAGGCUAGGGUUCUUGCUCUAGAGAGAUGUAGUUGCAAGUCUUUAUCUUGGACUUAAGAGAAAGAAACCAAAAGGAAAAUUAAUGAGACUGUAUUAAGUAUAGAGUCUAGAGAGAGAGAGAGAGAGAGAUGGUAGACAGUGAUGAUAUAAUUGUGAUGUAUCUUGAGAGAUAUGGGAAGAAAAUAACACCCAAAGGAUGAUUACCCGAAAGAAAAGGGAGGGUGGCACAGCGGCUGUGCACACUAAGGUCACUCAAUUAUGAGGUAAGCAGCUCAGGAUUUUGGAUAAGAAGAGGGACAGAUAUGUGCAACUUCACUGCCAAAUCAAAGUCUAAAAGUUGAUCAAAGAAAACAAGACUGUGACUAUUUGGACAAAGGAACAAAAACCCACAUCUCCUUUCCUCCCCUCCUCCCUGUAGGCUUUGGCUAAUUGGCUAUUUGUCUUGAGAGAGAGAGAGAGAGAGAGGCUCAAAGUCCCAAACCCCAUGUAAAUGCAUGAUAAGGAAAGGAAAUCUCAUGAUGAUAGUGUCAAAAUCAAACAUAUUAUGCAAUCUGAAAAAGUUGAGUUGAGAGAGAGAGAGAUGUACAACAGUCAGAAUUAUAGAAAAAAGGAAUGAGACUGGUUGAAUUCAAGGAGCUAGCUAGCUAGAGAGAUUGAAUGAAUGUUCUCCAUUUGCCCAAAAAUUUAGUGUAAAAAGACAAAAUCUAGCAACUAGCUUAGACACAUAAUCAUUUCUGAAUACUCACACAAAACACAUUAACAUGGUGGAUUAAUCUUUUAUUUUCAAAGACUAGACGUCAUGUGUGAUUAAAGAAGAACACACAUAUUACUUAUUAUUAAUGAGAACAAUAUUAAUUCCGCAUAAAACGCAAACCAAGCUGGGGGUGUUUAUGGGUUUAAGGACCACAUGCAGAUUGCGUGUGUAUGGGAAGAGAAGAGUUAAGAGCUAAGACCUAAGAGAGGAGGGAUGAUGGGUGGUACAAACAAAGCGGCAGUGGCAAAGAAUGAUGAAGCUUUUGAUGAUGAUCUCUUCCUCCUUCUUCUUCUCCUCCUCCUCUGCAGACUAUAUGCAUGAAAAGCUUCAGAAACCAUGACACAGAGCAUAUUAAAUGCUUUUUGGCAUUUAUUUUGGGGCGCGUGCACUGUAGCAUAAAGGAUUGCAGGCAUCAUGAUUCAUGACAAUGGAUUCUCUAGGUUGCACUUUAUUUACUAUGUGAUAUUUGGUCUGUCACUAUUCAUGUGAAUAGCGGCAGCCGUUGCAAUUUUAUUUUCAUCGGACGCCUUAGAUGCUGCCACGUGUCUUGUAGCAGUGGAAAACUAAUUUGAAAAGGGCACUAACGCCAGCGUGGCGUUAGUAAACCUAGGCAACAGCACGGGUCGGAUCUACCUUUGGGCUUACCUGGGUUGAUGGCCCCCACAUCUUGCCCGGACUGCUUUAUGCGCGUUAGAAUCGUCUCGCGAGCCUAGGGCCCCUCCUGCCCGGGCCAAACUGCUGCGGUGGACUUAGCUCUAAUAAAUCACUUCCUACUUAGAGUUUGUGUGCUUUUGCUUGUGCAACACAACUUUUUUAUUUUAGUAGUCUUUCUUUCAUUGUUAAGGUGUGAUUGAGAAUUGCAGUGUCUAAUAACAGAAACGCUUUUUUUAUUGUUGUUGGAUUCAAAUGGGACAGAAGGGUUUUUGUUUUUGUUUGUUUGUUAGAUAAUCACUUUUAGUACUUCCUAAACAACCACCUAGGCUCGUUUUGAGUGUUAGAUCGUCAUAUCGUGAAUUUAAACUAUUACUAAUCGUAUUAACUUUUGUCGUGUGAUUCAGAUUCAUUAUUUUGAGUGCCUUUAUGAUAUAGAAUUCUAAUUUAUAACGUGGGAAACUAUUUGAUACUUUUGUUUAUACCAUUGUUGACCAAAUUAUUUCAAUGCUAGUAAAAGUAGUUGUCCAAAUGUAUGCUCAAAGUUGGAGUGUGCUUCAUAAUUGGACUAAUAGCAACUAAAUCUCUUGAUUUGAUGGUGAAAUUUGGUCCGUUGUCGUGUUCAAAUUCAAACUAUGAAUUGAGUUAUAUGGAGUGGCUUUGACUCCCAUCUUUCUCUAUUUGUUCUUUUUUGGGUGGGUCGCCAGGGAUUUUCUCCUUGUGAUUCUAACAUUCUUAUUGUUGAUAGCUUAAAGAUCAUAAAUUUGAUCUUUGUUUUCAUAAUGUCAAAAGCAUAAUUUUCAAUCAAAGUAAGUAUGACUUACAUCAUUACAUGCAUGCAUAUGUUACCUCAACAUGAAAAUUAACAGUAUAUAAAUAUGCAGGCAACCAAUUGGGGAGAACAAAUUCAAAAGUAAUGCAUAUUAAUAUAUAUUUACAGACUGGAAAAAUAAAUUUUUCUGUCAAGAAUCGGAGAUUUGAUUGGCACAAGUAGGGGUAGGAGGCUCUAUAGCUAGAAGCUGUGAGUAAUUUGCAUUGAUUAUUACCAUGCUGUAAUUGGCUCAGAAGUAGUGCAAACUCUCCACUUAUAUAUAUACAUAUAUAUAUAUAUAUAUAUUCCUCAAGGCUGUAAAUAUAUGUAUUUACUCUACCCUCCCCAGCUCAGGCCAGAUUAUUAUACCCAAAUAAUCUAGGCUUAAAAGGGGGGAUAGCAGAACCAAAAACAUAGAAACCCUAAUGGCAAAGAGCCUCAAGUACAGUUUGAAACCUAUGUAUAGGGUAGUUCAUCAAUUUCAAAUGACAGUUUUGCCCUUGACAACCCUAUAGGUAAGUACAAGAAUAUCUUGUGGUUCUGGCUAUGGCUAAAUCUUGGCCUGGUUUUGUUAUCAGAAAAAAGAAAUAAAAGGACUCUAUGAUCUCCAUUAAAAGAAGAACCUCUAAAUCACACAGUACCACCAUCAUUUUUAUGGUCAUUCAUUCAUUCAUUCAGAAUCAGAAGCCUCUUUCUUCUUUCUUUCUUUCUUUCUUUCCAAUCCAUUAUAUCAUCACUUCAUAUCAUGCCACCCCACAUUUUAUAUUAUAUUAUUCUUCUCAUCUCUCUCUCUCUCUCUCUCUCUCUCUCUCAAAGUGCAUCAUUAAUAAUUUUUCAUAUAUUCUGGUCAUGCCUUUUCAACCGAGUAAUUCCCACUGAUACCCUCCCUUUCUAAGCCCUCUUUUGUCCCUUCCCUUUUUAUGAACCUCCUCUCUGUCAACUUCAGUCUUUCUCUCUCAGAUAUUUCUCUGAUUUCCUCUCUUCAUAUCUCCAUGUGCCCCUCCCCCAUCUUAAUUAUAAACCCAUCUUGAUCCCCAAUCCCAACAUUUCAAUUUCAUGCAUUUCCUCUCUCUCUCUCUCUCUCUGCGGAUCACUGUUCUCAUUUUUGUUUGCUUCCCUUUGUAAUUUUCUUCCUUCCAAGCCCUCUCAAUGGAACCUCAACAAACCCAACAACAACCAAAUGAAGAUGGCAGCAACAAAGGGACUAGUAGUGGUACUAAUUUUCUGUGCAGGCAAAGCAGUACAAGGUGGACACCCACAAGUGAUCAGAUUAGAAUAUUGAAGGACCUUUACUACAACAAUGGUGUGAGGUCCCCAAGUGCAGAGCAGAUUCAGAGGAUCUCUGCUCGGCUGAGACAGUACGGCAAGAUUGAAGGCAAGAACGUUUUCUAUUGGUUUCAGAACCACAAGGCUCGUGAGAGGCAGAAGAAAAGGUUCAUUGAUGUACCAGCCCCACCCAUCAUGCAAAGAUCAGGGCUUGGGAUUAAUAAUAAUAAUGCUCCUACUGCUUAUGAACCCAUUAAUCACAGCAACAAGUACCCCAACAGUUCUGCUUCUGCUGGUAAUUAGUUGAUUAAACAACCAACCCUUUUAGCUAAUUAAAAAAUUAAUUACCUUCUCCCCUCCCCUUCUUUCUUUCUUUUUACUAUAUUUGGGUGUUUUUUAUUUGUAGGGGUUUCUCCUUCUUCAGCUGGUGUGAUUGCUGUUGGGCAAAUGGGGAGCCAUGGCUAUGGAUCUAUGACCAUGGAGAAGAGUUUUAGGGCAAGUAUAUAACAGGAAGUUAUUGUGUGUCUUAGUUGCUUAAUUACAACUUGACCACCUUAAUUUUUUGCACCCAUGUGAGCACAGUGCAAGCUUAAUUUACUAUAAUCUACUCAUACAAAAACAUCCCACAUCCAGCCACUGGAAAUUUUCUAUAUUUAGGAAGAAACCCUUUGGCCCCUUGUUUCCCUUUCAUGACCAAAUUAAAAAAACCCCAUUUCUCAAAUCAAGCCAAACUAGUUGAAUUUACAGUCCACUCUAGGACUGGUACUAAAAUGAAAAAACAGUUUGAGUACUUUUAACAAAUGUGAAAUUCAUUAACCCAUCUUCUCUCUUCUUCUUUUUUCUUCCUUUUUUUUUUUUGAAUUAAUUGCAGGACUGCUCAAUAUCAGCUGCAGGAGGUACUAGUAGUGGUCAUGUUGGUGGAUCUAAUAAUAAUAUUGGUCACAACUUUGGAUCAUGGGUUGGUGUUGAUGCAUAUUCUUCACCCUACACUCUCUUUGACAAGAGAUCAUCAUCAAGACAAGUGUUUGGUGACCAAGAAAAUACGAUGGAUGAAGAAGAUCAUGAAUACCAAGAAAACCUGCAGGGUUCCCCAGAGAUUGAAACCCUCCCUCUCUUCCCCAUGCAUGGUGAAGACAUCCAUGGCUUUGGCAACAUCAAGUCCACCUCCGACGGCUACUACUCCGGCUGGUACCGCUCCGACGACGGCAACAAUGGCCGCACUUCCCUUGAGCUCAGCCUCAAUUCCUACGGCCACAUGACCCGUGAUUAUUUCAGAUCAUAUUAAUCAAGACCAGACUAAUUAAUUAGUAUCCCCAUGUUAAUGUUUAUGAUCUUAUAUCAGCUUGUAAGUAUCUGAAUGGCUACUACUAAUUAUGUUUGCUUAACUACUAUAUGUCAAUGGGUAUUUGACACGUGUCAUGCAAAGAACUUAAUCUGCUGAUGAUUAUCUUGCUUUUAACUUUUAGUUGUUCCUAUUCCCAAGAAUAUUCCAUGGUAAUUAUUUGCUAAUUAAGAUGCAUGGAGUCUCAAUAAUAUAAUAACAAUAAUAAUCCCAUGAUUCUUAAUUAAAAUGCAAGAACAUGAUCCGAUGGUGCAGAUUUUAACUGCUGGACGGUUUGCAGUCACCUUCAUUGGAUUAAAUAAUGCAUUAAUAAAAGGCCUGUUCAUUUUCAAGCACAUAAUAAUAAAUAAAUAAAUAAAAGUUAAAACUGCAGCUAGACUAGAGAGAUGAAGAAGAUCAAUUUUUGACUAGCUUGCUGUGCUAGCUGUGACGUCAUUUGUCGACAGAGAUUUUAAGUGUGGGGCCCUUGAACUUGAAGGGAACUACGGUGGGUUUACGUUAGGUUUUGGAGUUGUCAAGGUGGGUUGUGUUUAUGUUGUUCUGGUGGGUGUGGGCAACGGGCAUUGUCGAAAAGAUUUGCCAAUGAUAUCAAAUGGUGUACAAAGGAAAUAUAGAAAGAUAUGCUGUUAGGGCAACAAUGAUGAACGUGUGUGAAUGUAUUUUAUAUGCAGCCGUUUUUAUAAAGUAGCUGGGAGCUAGUGGUAAGUGCGAGGAGGAUAUAUUUUGAAGUUUGAACCUACUUUGGAAAUACCAAAAUAUUCUUCUUCUUUUCCUCUUUCUUUUUUGUAUAUAUAUAUAUAUAUAUAUGAUAUGAAGCAAGUUAUUUUAUAUAUGCAUUAAAAUAAAUCCAACAAUCAUGAAUAAUAUAAGUGUUGAAUCUUGGAAAGUGUUACAUUUCAUUCGUAAUGUGUCUUAUUUUUGACUUUACAUUAAAUUUUAUUAUUUGAAUUGAUGUUCAUGCCUUUUACUUAUUCAGUAUAAAAAUAGUAAGUUUCGAUGCCUAAAUAUCUCGGUAGGCUUCCCAGUCGGUUUUUCACGUUCAGUUAAUCAGUGAACUUUGGUAUUUCUAUAUUUUUUGCCAGCCCUAGCUUUGAGUAUAUAAAUAAAUGAUAUAUUUCUUAUACCAUUGGAUUUACAAUCACUUAGAACUUUGACGAGUGUAAAUGGCGUCUUCUUCACAUGGGUACGAAAUGAGUUAAACAAGCAGAAAUGAAAUGUGUGUACAAAUGAACGUGACAUGAGCCAUACGACACAUUCACAAAGACAUUCACCAACAGAAAAUAUAUUCACUCUCCAUCAGUCCAUAUACAAUCACAAUUGGGUUCAAUUUUUCUUGCGUCUGGUAGAGCUCAGCUUGUGGACAGCUCUAUAAAUGAGGUCCCCAUCAACAAGAUUUUGGGUGGAUGCAUUCCUUUUUCUGGUUUGACAGAAGUUCAAACUUUAUAGCUUAGGGCUGACCUUAAUUGUCGUUUAGAGCAUACAAAGCCUCAAGAGGGAAAAAAAUAAAAAAACAGAGAGCAUGAUCUCUUCGAAGAAGUAACUAACAGACAAUGCUUCUUGUUCCUGGUUGAUAGAUAUAAGAGAGAUUUAGGUGUGGAUCGAAGAAGAUCUUUAAAGCUUUCUGGGGCUUCAAGUACGUAAUGUCCCUUACCAGCAAAAUGAGGCAUGACAUACAUCAUGCUUUUCAGCCAAUUCUAUGUAAAAGCCUUCAAGGCCAUGGUCCAAGUUGGUUUGCUUGCCAUUUUCAUCGCAACUAUAUAUAUUGCGGUUCAAUAUUUUUUUACCUAUUGGUCCGCAUGGGUCCAUAAGACAUUUUGCUUUACCCGUACGUAUACUAUGUCCACUUACUCACAUUUCCAUAAUCUCUCCCACAUGAGUUUUAUCUUUAUCUUCUUCUCUUGGAAUGGAGAACUUCAGUAGUCUGACCAUAGCUUGAAUUUUAAGUGAAUCUCGAGUUUUUCGGGUGCGGAAUCCACACCAUUCACGGUUGUCGGUUCUCCACGCUUCAAUAGACUACUCUAUAUUGUUGAUAUGUGCAUUGUCUACACCCAUCAACGACUGUCAAUUACUAACGCAUAUAGGAGGUGGGCAUGGUUGCCAUACAGUAAUUCAACAUUAGAAAACGCCUAUUUUGGCACCAGUGUGACUGGCCUCCACCACUUGAUAUCUGAUCUGACAUUUCAUCUUCAUGAUACGAUUUACAAUCAUGGAACAUGCACACUAUGUAAAAUUUGGAAGUGAUAACUUUGUAAAAAAUUUACAUUUAGAUGCCUGACACUGACUUUACAAAGAGCAGGCCAUACGAUCUGGACCUUACUUGCAGAGCAUCUAUAAAUCCUUUAAGAAUCUAUAUUUUGGAUUUAAAAAGAAUGACUCAUAUGUUAGUACAAUUCUCUUUUUCUGUUCACGGGGUCCCAGAAGCAAGGCUGAAUCAUGACAAUAACUCUGGCUGUAACUUCAAGUUUCACUAACAAAUGGACAAUUAAAUGGCACUUUUGAACUGCUUUGCACUAGAAAUUAGGGGGGAGAUGACCGAAAAUUUCUACUUCCUUCCAACAUAAGCUCCCAAUUUAGACAAAUCUGGAAUCCAAAAUGAUAGCUCAGAAGAUCCAGUUGCAAACAUGAGGUUUCCCGGAGCCCAUUUGACAACAGGAGGUUCAUUUUCAGUGCUCAUCCAACUUGUGACCUGGAUAGGUUACAAUCAUUAAUUGUGACUUAGAAGCACAAGGAGAACAAAGAAAUACGAAUGGAUGAAGGCAGAAAAUUAUUUAUCAUACUUCUUUCCCACUCCGAACACUCCACGCAUAGACACUACCAUCACCUGAACCUGCCAAAAGUUUGGAAACCAAUAAAUCAUUUGUCUGCCAGUCCAGCCAGGUUAAAUUAUCAUGGGUGGAAUUCAGGGGUAUGCUAGGGAAAGCAGGUGUUUUUGGGUAAGUAUAUUGAAUAAGAUGUAUGCAUGAAAAUGAAACCACAGCAUUGAAGAAACUAUGCAUUUAAACAGCAAUCAACAAGAUGAUGUCCCAGAGCUUACUCACAUGACACAAGAAAUCAUAAGUGACAAUUAUGUUGGAAUUUUAUACCCACUCAGCACAAUAGGCACAUAUAAGUACAACAGAAAGAAAAAAUGAAACAGAAGACAUGCAUACCUGAUAUGACAAACAUCCCCUCUGGGCUGAAAGAAGCCUCUAAUGUUGAACUGCUGGAGACUGGCUUUACAUUAUAUGUGGAUAACUAAACAAUGACAAAAAAACCAUAUAGAAAGACUAAAUUAUGUAAAGGCUACCAAUUCAAGAAAUUCAAGAAAUUCAAGAAAUUCAAGAUGAUCUGAGUUGGUUGAGAGCAAACUUUUUCAAAUUAAAAUUGAGUUGUUGAGGAGAGCAACUUACAAGUGUGCCACGGAACGAAUCAAGAACAUGAAUAUGUCCAUCUGUGGUUGUUAAAAGCACAAGUCUCCCAUCGUUACUGAACUUUACAACAUUUGCAUCAGACAUAUCUCCCCCAACAGAAAAGAUAUCAAAAGGACCCUAACAAGAUGAAACAGUUUAGACAACCAGAUCAGCCAUGCUUACAUUGUCAUAUACAGAUAAAACAGUUUACACGGCUGCAAAAUUUCAAUUGCCAUAUGCACUGAAAUAUAAACAACUGACCUUUUCAUACUUGCGGGCAUCAAACAUUCUUAUGUAUCCACCAAAGGCAACUGCAAAAACUAGCCCUUGAUCAUCAUAAGUUGUGGCAGGCCUUCCUUGUACGCGUAAGAGACCCUAAAAUACGAACACAGAUUAUAAUCAUUCAAAGAAAGACAUGUAAUAUAAGAAACCCAACCCAAUACCCAUAUGCCAAGGCCCCUACCUGACACUUCUCAGCCCGUUGAUCCCAAAGCAGAACAGUUCUAUCAAGAGAACCGGAGAUGAAGCAGUCUUUGCGAGAACACAAGCUAAGUGAGACUACCCUAAACACAAAAGUUCAGAACCCAAUUUCUCCCAUUAGACAGAUAUGUUCAACUACUUCAGUACAACCCACCCACUUGAGUUUUAAAAAAAUGGCAAUAAUCUCAGAAACCAGACCUGUCAUGGUGGCCUUUGAAAUAACGCAAGUACUUGUUGUCAUGCAAUGAGAGAAGCCUCAAGGAUUCUGAAUGAACCAGUCAUAUAAACAACACAUUCUAAGUAUGCCACACAGUUGACAAACAUAAAUAUCAAACAUGGUAGUUGAGGUAAAGUGGAAGCAUACCAUCCCAGCCAUUUUUGGAAGAGUAUAUAACUGUGGUAGGAUGAGAAGUAAAGCAAACCAAAUCAACUCCAUACUUUUUGCUGUUGAUGGUCUUCAAGCAUGUUGCAGUGGAGACAUCAUAUAAACGAAUCGACUCAUCAUCACUAGCAGUCACUACAUAACUAGUCGCCUUGUGAAAAUCCAACGAACUAAUUCUACCACUCUGAGCAUAAAAGCAAAUACUCAGAUUCAAAUACACAAAGCUCGAAGAAAAUGGUAGUUUUUAUUUAUUUGUUAAAUGAUGAAAACAACCAGAAACAGAGAGAUAAAGUACUUACAUAGUCUCUAAAAGCUAACCCAACUUCCAUGCUUUGAAGAAUUUCCUCUGUCAGCUCCAUAGAGACCUUGUCUUCUCUUUCUGAAAUCCCUUCACAGCAAGAACAAAAAUAGUAAAUAAAAUCAGUAAUUCACUAAUUGACACCAAAUCUAAGCGAAAAAUGUAAAAAAUUUCACACCAGCCAUUGGGAAUCGGUUAAUAUGGUUCUGGGUCUAUCUCAUUCCGGGAAAUUGAAAAUUUCAGUGAAGCCCUCCGCCUCCUGCCUCCGUCUCCAACCUUCGGCAAUGUAGAUGAAAUAGACACAGGGUCGUUUUUCUUUUUCGUAAGCUCGCCAAGUUUGUCAUUGGGUGAGCUCAAGCCCAUAUAUGUGUUUUAUGGACUUUGGACCAGGUUUGUUAGCUCGUAUGCUUUUACUUUUUGGGUCGGAUCUUUUAUUGGCCCAAUGAAUUCUUCUUUAGUCCAUUUAUUUUUAUGGUGAUACCAAUCAUCUAAUUCAAUUCUCAAUAUCAAUUGGAUGAUUGGAUUUGAUUUGAUUUGAUUUGAUUGAAAACAUCACGAAUCUAUAUCUUAAAUAAAUUGAUUUAAAUUAUAUUACUUUCGAACCGAUGCACACCGUUAAAUAUCAUAUGAUAAAAAUUUUCACGAAUCUUAUACUUUCAUUGAUGAUGUUGAAUUUAUGAAAUUCUUUAACAAGUGUCAUUAGUAUGUAUCAAUUUAUAAACAAAGUGCUUUGAGGACCAAAGAUUUUUUACAAACAUUUUAUCUGCUUUUUCUUUUUUUCUGAUUAAAGACAAGCAUCUUAUCAUUGCAAAUUCGAUUCCAUAUGGAACAAACACCAUAUAUAUUGCGUUCUCAAGAAAAGAGAUAAACCACAUAUAUAUAUAUAUAUAUAUAUAGAGAGAGAGAGAGAGAGUUGUUCUCUACUACAGACCCGUAUUUUUUUUAAUGUCCAGACCACUUGUUCUUUUGCCUUCUUUGUGUUAAUAAAUCAACCCAAACACUUGUAUCACUUUUCUUGGUAAAGGUAGAAUAGAAACCAUGCUCUGUCAAUUCUUAAAAGUCAAACAUCAUCACCUCUAGAUUGGGCUUUUCUUUCAUUGGUGGACUGUAAAGAGAAUUUGGAGGCUGUUAUGUGUGCUUUAGUGCCUUUUUUUAAUGAUAAAGAAGAGAAAUGCAGAAAACAAAAUGGAAAUGGUUUCCUGAUCAUGUGAAAAAACAAGUGCACAUUAAGCAAUUCCGGACGUCCACACUAGAGAAUAGUCCUAUAUAUAUAUACAAACAGUUAUUAGGAAAGAUUUAGAUCAUUAAAUCAUUGAUAACUGGAAAAAAAAAAGACUGAGAAGCUUCUCAACAAAAAAAGAAGACAAAUUUAUGAAUCUGAAAUUAAUUCCCUGUAAAUGCACAUACCAAUUUACAAUUCACCCCUAACAAUCUCAACAAACACCCUCUCCCUCUGUAAGAAAAUCUAAAGAAAAAAAAAAACAAAGAAUGGCAUAAACUCAUGAACAAUAUACUCACACAAAUUCAAAUAUGAAAUAAAAACUAAUAAUUGCUAAUAUGUCACAUAACUAGAACUGGUAUAACCACGUCUCGAUCUGCCACGGCAUCAAUGGAGCUUACUAGAACUAGCGGAAGAGCCCCGGUUGCCGUCCUCCGGCGAAGCUUUUUUCUUGAUGAACUCGAUGCAAUCGGCUACUGCCUCGCUGUGGUGAGGGUCAUCAUGCGGACAAUAAUACCGCUGCGCAUCUGGGCUGGAUCGGCCAGCGUGGCUUGUGGACUUGUUGGAGGAGACAGCAGACAGCAUGAUCAAACGGAAAACCGCCUCGCGAAACCGCUCGAGCAGAGUCAUCGGAGACAGGCGUUUGGUUUUGUUGCUGCACGAGUUGACGUUGCUUCUCAUCCUGGGAAUGCAUAGAUGGGUUUUCAUAAUUUUUGCUUUUAGAGUUUCUCAAGGUUUUGGUGUCGUUUUGAACUAAGACAAUAUGAGAGAGGGGUCAAGGUGUUGCUCUAUAUUUUGAUAUGAGAAUCUAAUUGCGUUGCAUGGAACGACAACUCAGAUUUAUAUCUAUACAAGUUUGCUUUUUGGUUGGGUUUAAUACUACGCUAAUCACUUGUUUGAAUCUGCCAUAUAAUGUUUUUCAUGAUGCGACCGGAUCAUCUUUACAAAGAUUUACUCAAAUCAAUAAGUGUUUUCUUUUAAGUCGGUAAAUUGAAAAGAAUUUAGUUAUCUAGUUUUGUAAUAAAAUAAAUAAAUAAACACGGUAUAUUCAAUAAAUAACAAAAAUAUUCACAAUCAUAAUUAAAUGUCUUACGAUUUUUAAUUUCGAGAAAAUUUUAUGGGAAUGAUGCUUGAAUGAAGACUAAGCUCAAAUGAGUGAUUAGCACUAUAUGUAUUAAAUUAAUAAGUCGUUAGUUUGGUUACAUAUUUUAUAUUAAAAUUGAAGUAGACUUCAUAGCCAUGCAUGCAUGAUGCAUGUUACUAGUAUAAAUUUUUUUGUCUUCAUCGCUGCUAGGCUUCACAUGGCUACAUGUGCAUGGUUGUAUAAUUUUCAAUCAAACUAUAAGUAAUGUAUGGUUCCUAUUGGAUUCCGCCGACUUACCGCCCUGGAAAAAUGAAAGUAAAUUCUAUUGUUUUUAUGUGUGCCCUAAUGUAUUUGUUCCACGAAUUUGUGGGAUGGGGGAUGAAUUUCAAAUACAGAAUUGGGCAUGUGAGAGAGAUGGGGCAAAUUAAUUAUGGUACGUGGGGGUCAAUCUCCCCACCAUGCUUCGAAUUGGACUUGCUGUCGGUCUGUUUGUUUGCUCAUAUAUUAAGGGAGUUGUUGUGUUCACUAUAUCCAUCAUUUAAUUAAUUAGGGUCCUCAAUCGGGUCGUCCCGGGCCAUUUCGGGUCUAUACACCCGUGUUUGGGUUAGUCGGAUUCUUGUCGGAUCGAGAUUUAGCUUAUUGGGCUCAAGUAAGCUCAUUUUGAUCAUCGGUUCAAAAGAUGAUUUCUAAUGUGAAUGAAUGUAGCGAUAUAACAAAACUAUUUGUAUCAGAUCGAUUUGCAAUUUACGUUAUUUGUUAUGUCCCUUAACCAUUUGAGCUACAAGUCCCUUACAUAAUGAGAAAUGAGGAAUCGAACCUAGAACCUCAAGGAAAGGAAAAAUCCAACUUAAAACCUCAAGUACAUGAAUAAAUAUUCUUAACCAUUUGAACUAUAAUAUCCUUUCAUAACUUUACUACUUAUGCAAAUAAAGAUGUAAUGAAUAAAUACGAUACAUAUGUCAAUUAUUCUGGUGAUGGUUACAUUUUUCAUAGAGGUGAUGGGUAAUCAUCCAACAAAAGAGAUGGGGUUUGUGGGUUUGUAUGAACUUCAAUUCGGCCUGUACUCAUUGUAAACAGCAUACAAUGGCAAUGCUUCUGUGGCCCAUAUAACAACAUGUUUACAGAAUUCAUGUUGGGCGUAGGCCGAAGCCCGCCUUACAAAUUUACAAAAAUUUGAAGCAAUUUCCUUAUUUAUUAGAAAAAUGAGAGAGCCCAAAUAAAAGAAACAAGUGAUGCCUUAGCUCUGAUUAUUUCAAUAAAAUUGACUGUUAAUGGAAACCCUUUUGCAGGCUUCAUUUAUCAACAACAAACAUUCUUGAAAUGAAUAUAUUUACUUAAUAAUCUCUGCACAAUCUGCUCACGAGAGCCUCAGGCUCUUGGAGACCCCCCACCACCUUCUUGAAUUGCCUUGUUUUUGGCAAAAAACCACCCAACCAGAGGCACCAAUGGCUUCUUCUUGAUUUUCUUGACAGAAGGGUUUCCAACUCUCUCCCCCAAGUCUUCUUUGCUAACAAUGACUUGGGCCAGUGUAGGAGGACUUGCAAAUUUCACAUAUCUUUUCUUCUGCACCAAUUCCUCUGCGUCUUGGCUCAACAUGGUCUUGGUUUCAAACUUCGCGGCGCCAUCCUCAAUGAAUUUAAGGUCGUCUUCUUCAAUCUCAGGAUCAACUGGGUCCUUCUGAUCAAACUCUCUUGCCUUCAAGUACUUGUGCAGCUCUUUCUUUGCACGGUCAAGAUCAUCCCUUAGUGACUUUAUGCAGUAUGCCAUUAUCUUGUUUUCUUCUCUAACUUUCUGAAGAUUUCGCUUUGUUUCUUCAAGCUCAGCUUCCAAGACCCCAAUUGUUGAUUGAGCAGAAGCAGCAUGCCCUGCAGCUCCAAUCUAACAUAGAAAUUGAACAUUAACACUAGAAAAAAAAGAAGUAAAAAUGGUGUUGUGGUAGGAGCUAUAGCUAACCUCUUUGAGCUUGUUGGCAUAUAUUUCUCCAACCAAAACUCUUUCCCCAAACAACAAGACUGCUUCUUUGACUGAUUUGAAAGGUGCUCUGGUGUCAAUCUCUGCUCGGCCCAUGACCACCAAUUUGCCUUCCUCUGUGUUCAUCAUGCUCAAUCAACGCAAGGAAAGGGAAGAAGAUAUUAAUGGUGGAAUUAAUGAGGAAAGGUCCUUUUAAUACAAGUUUCAAAAUGGGGAGCUGCAAGAGAGGAGGUCGUUGGAAAUGGAUGGUGUGGUUCUAGCUUUGCUUAGAGGAAGUUAAGAAGAAAAAAAUAAUGGGGGGGGGGGGGGGGGGUUUUGUUUUGGUUUCCUUGGCGUCCACUUCACUGAAUUUUGUUAAUUGAAGUUGACAAGAGUGGUUGGACUAUCUUGAUCACUUUGUUACUUCUUGGCUUCUUGUUAGAGUUUGGGCUGCUUCCUUCCGUUACCAAUGUGGGUUAAACAAAUCAAUAAGCAUUAACAGCCAAGUAAUUGAUAGAUCACAAAUAUAUACCGCCAAUUAUUAGGUGUGAUGUGAAGUCUCAUGGUACUGCUUUGUCACUUCUUAUGGGUUAAGAGAUAUGGAUUAUGUUUGAAGACAUAAAUGAAGCAAUUGUUAUGAGUUAUCUGAUAAAUGUGGUUAUCCCUAAACUUACAUGUAUUCCAUGUAUGUAGAAGAAUGACUCUUGUGAGCUAUUCAAAAGGUCACUGCUGUUAAAAUAAUUGGAAUAUUUUAUUUUUAUAAAACACUUUAAACUACUUAACUUUAAAGUGAAGUAGGUUUUUUGUUUGAAAAAGCAAUCCCAAACAGAGCCUUAGUUUUUCAAUAUGUCCAUAAAAUUGCAAUGUGAUAUUAUCAAUUCAGUUAUGCUAUAUACAAAUAUAUAUGUAUUAAUAUUAUAUCUUCAAGUAUAAACAUGUCUCCUUCACAUGUUUAUAAAUUGAGUGAAUUAAUAACACUAAACUAAAUAUCUUUACUAUCAAUUUGGAAAUUUAAAAAUAUGGGAAGUAAUAAAUUGAUUUGAAAAGUCAUUCUCAUUAAACUGUUUACCAAUCAUAUAGAAUCAUAAUAGGAAUGAAGUUGAUUCCAAUUAUUACUAUUUACUAAUUCUCAUGAACCGAAACUCUGACUUUUAAAAUGGGACUUACAUUUGUUUGAUUCCCUAUGUGUUAGUAACGUGAAAAAAAUAACUGAUUGAAAUAAUUUCAUUUAUUCUCAUACCCAUUCCUAAUAAGUGACAGUGUUACAUUCAAACACAAAAACUUCUAUGUACACACGGCACUUCCUAUUUUUUCUACCCUUUUUCUCUCUCCAGCCACAGUGGAGAUUAGGCCGUGGUUCGUAAAAUAGUGAGGGUGUUAUUUUGAACACACGAGUCUGGCUGGAUACCACCACCAACAUCAAACACACAAGCCCGACCACCACCACCACGAGUUCCCGACCACCACACCAUAAGUCCACGAUCGUCUGCCCCUAGUCUAGUUGAUGGUUCGAUUGGGUCUGCCCCUAGUCUAGUUGAGUGAACAACCAUCCUCAUCUCAGGGCGCUCUUGGCCUCCGCACCCCAACUUUUAAGAGAGCCAUCCACUUUUGGUAUGUGGUGGAUGCAAACAAAACAAAACAAAAUUCCAAAUGAAAUCUUAAAUAGUGUGGCAUAAAGAGAGUGAAAAUGAGGGAAGGAAGAAGAAAAGAGAAAGGAAAGAAUAUGAAGAAAGAAAGAAAAAAGAAAUAGGGAAGGCAGAAGAAAAGAGGAAGAAAGGAAGAAGAAAAGACAAAGUAGAGAAGAGGUAGAAAGAUAAAAAAGGACACAAGUUUUAGCCUUUAAAAA
rnacentral:lncRNA from 1 species